rnacentral:lncRNA from 1 species
GAAGGCAAAGCCUUAUGCUUAAUGGAUUAUUUAGCUAAAUAUACUAUCUAUGAGAUAUAGGAGUGAAACAAACAAUCCAGAAGCUUUCCUAUACCGGCACGUCCCGACAGUAUGUUCAUCAACUUCUCCAACUCUCCCGUGUCUAGCCUCACCGUCAGCGAACCUCACCGUUGCCCCGAGCAAACAAACAGCAGCAAUAUUUCUCCUUGGAAACCGGUCUUGCUACUGUGAAAUUCAUUUUGGAGGUGAUGUGAUCUGAUAGCGCAAUAAGAACAAUUCACAAGAGUAACUGUAUCACAUAGUCAUAGAUCCAAUCACUAUUUAUUUUGGAGGUGUCAAUGCAAGUUAGUCCUAAAACUAUAUAUAAGUUAUUCACCGAGAGCCCUAACUUGCCCAUAGACCAGUGUUCACCUGCUUAUGUGGCGCUUAACUGUUGCCAUGUAGACAUACUCUAUGCAAAAUGGCCCUUCCAAAUACACAAUGGAAAAUUCACUCUCAAAAAUGUCGUACAACCACAUUGAAGAGGUGGGAUGUUUUUAUUUCUUAAGAAAAAAAGACAAAUCAUCACAAUACACACAACCAUUCGUAGCGAGAUACUUGUCACUGGUGCACUUGGGCACCACUUCAUCCAGCACGGUUGUGGCGGCACCCCCCCCCCCCCUUAACCGAAGAGCUUCCUUGGCCACCUUCUGUAGCGCCGCCACCUUAGCUCUUACCUCCGCACAUUUUCCAUGGCCAACCAUCACUUCCCUCACUGUCGCGGCGACCUCCUCCUUUGCCAUGGCCAAACAUCACUUCCCUCACUACCGAGGGCUCUCAUAUGGCUACCACAACUCCUUCUGUCAGCAUCACGGUGUUCUGUCGUUGCUCGGCGUAGAGCGGCCACGGCACCAUGGGCACGCCAUGCACCAGGCUCUCUAAGACGGAAUUCCACCGGGAGUGCAGCAAUAAGCCUCCCGUGGCUUCAUGAGCCAACACCUUCGUCUCCGUCGGCCACGAUGGUCCGAGGAGGCCGACGUCCUAGCUUGGUCCUCUCGACGAACCCCUUUGGCACGCUCGGCAACCUCUCGAUGUCCUUGGCCAGGCGCUUGGCAAGCUCGGCGAGCGGGAUCAGGUGUCCUAAAUCGGGCGUCACCAGCAUCGGCACGUGCGGUGGCCGACGAGCCUCAGUCGUGCCGUCGCCUCCAUGGUUCCGUCGUUCGCCCCUCCGUUUCACCAUGGGAUUAUAUACGGUGGUUUUGGUUAGACUCGUGUCUGUGUGUGUUGUUUUGGGGGUUUAUAAGUAAGCAAAAGGAAGAUGAAAUUAAUUUAUCCAACAGCAUGCAUGCAGAUUCAUACCGACAUGACUUCAUGCUUUGCCUUGACAGUACAAAUGGAUAGAUCUAACGUACUACUCCUUCCGUCUUAAAAAUAAGUGUCUCAAACAUAGUAUAACUUUGUACUAAAGCUAAUUUUAUACUAGAGCUAGUACAAAGUUAAGAUAUUUAUUUUAGGACGGAUGAAGUAAAAAAAUAAGGCUGGAUAAUGGAGACCUCAUAUAUGCUUCUGCCUACCUCAGACGGACCUCAUAUAAUGCAAAAAUAUAAAAAAAAAAAUGAGAAAAUGAAAUGGAGAUGCGGGGGAUCGAACCCCGUGCCUCCCGCAUGCAAAGCGGGCGCUCUACCAUUUGAGCUACAUCCCCAUCGUUGAACCGAUUCCCUUAAUUGUUUUAAUUAUCAUCAAUUGCUUGCUUAAUCACAAUGACAUGGUAGUCGGAGGAACAGACAGCAGGGUAGUACUGGCAUAGGAAUACACGCUCCCAAAUGAGUGUUGUGUGUGUGUGUGUUAUCUAGUAAAUUUUGUUCUGUCAAUUAUUACUACCAACAAUUGCCAGAAAAACACACACACACAAAAAAACAUGUGCAGUAUGAUGAUGCAUACUUGUUCAGAACAAGCAAACCAAGUAGAGUGUUUUGUACUAAAAAUUAUUCGCUUGUGUAUUCUUGUGGUAUGGUAGUCCAUGCUGUCAAAACAAGCAAAACAAAACCUGCUUCUGUCAGUUCUAUCUUAUUCACAGGGAAGAGAUGAUGGAUUCAUUUGGAACCAUGUUUUCCAAAUGUCCACACAGAAACAACAAAUGUUCAAUGUAAAUUUAUACGAAAGCAAAGGGGAUGGAAGUUUAUCAUGUUUUCUGAAGCAAAAGCUCACUGUGAACCUUCUUGAGCAGUUUCUGUUUUGCCAAGGUGUUCGUACUGACUGCAGUCAGCUCUUAUCUCCUUGAAGGUUGUUAUCAACGGUAACAAAAAAAUUCUUAAUCGUUGAAUCAGCCUAUUAAGGAAAUCAGUAACUCGUAGCUGCUCGCUUGACUAGGGAGUAGCGAUUAAUCGUUGAAUCAGCCUAUUAACUAGACUAAUUGGUCGACCAUUAAUCGGUGGAAUUAUAAACUCAAUAGAAGCAAACUGUGUAUGGAGAAAAAAAUCUACAUUGCAAAUAUGAAGCAAAUGGUACCAUUUUCUUUUCUCAAUAGAUGACAAACAUGUAUGCAAUAACAAUCAUCCAUGUGGGUGUCAAAAUCAUCAACAAACAUGUAUACACCAACAUUUUUUGGCUGAUUUCCGCCUAGAAUGCAACUCCGAGUGAUGGCGUCCAUGUGACGGCGAUAGACAAAGGAAAGGUGACGGUGGCUGCGCAGGGCAUCUGAACUGGUCAGUUGAUGGAGGUGGCGGGUCACAGAGGAGGAGGGGAAGUAUCAACACACCGAGGAAGAAGAGAAAGCGGCAGCACACAAAGGAGAAGGGGAAGCGGCGGCGCGCCGAUGAGGACCUGGCCAGCCACCAUCUAUUCGAGAGGGGAUGAGAGGAGUGGGAGGGCGGAAGAAGGGCUAAACCCUAGGUAUUUAUGAAUGGGAGGGGCUCGGCAGGGCUAUGGGCCAAAUAAUUGGGCUUUGUUUGCCCACGAGUGAGGAGGCCAACAUCGAUUAAUCGGCCUGACGACUGAUUAAUCGGUCUAAUAGACCAUUUAAUCGUCCUCGCAAGUUAACAUGAUGAAUAGGUGUUAUUCGAUUCGGUCAUGCGGUGAGUAGCGUUUAACUCGCCAAUUAACUCAUUAAUCGGAUGAAUUCUUGAACAGUGGGCCCCACAAACUUUGAGGAUGUAGUGCAUCAAUUAGAAAAUCUUUCGUUGCUUUAUUUUCUGGGGAAAGUGGUUAUUGCUUCAAAAGGUUGAACUCUUUAAUAAUUUUGAAACAUAGCUUCCGGAAAGAAGUAUUUUCCGCAUUUUAAAAAAGAAAGUAUUUUCAUGUGGAGUUGCAAUCCAUGGCGUCUUUAUGAAAUACAACAAAUCUAAGCAGGUCAAUUAUUGGCUAUUGGAGGGGUGCAUAACACGAGGCCCAAAUGCAGCAGCAACCCAUUAAAUUUCUAGCAAGGCAUACAUGUUGUGCAUGCAUUCUUCAUGUAAAGAGUAAGAGAAACAACGCAUCGCUCGCACGAACCAAUUGCAUGUAUGGUGCAGGAACAUAAUCAUGACUAGGUACAUGGCCAUUUAUUAUCUAGGCAUAUGGCUCGUAUAUAUAUGUAGUCCAUCAUAAAGUGUAUUCCUUCAUGAAGUAACAAAUUAUAGCAAGUCAGCAUGCUAUAGCAAACGGAAGCAUGUAGUCAUGGCCUUAGUGGUUGACUAUGAGAUGUUCGAGUGAAACAAACAAGACAUAUGUUUUCCUAUAUGAGUAGUGCGAAAGAGGCGAUGCAUCUCCAGCCGUGCUUCACCUCGCCCAUGCAGUAACCGAGCACCAUAGCUACCAUAGUCACCACAAACAUUAAGCAUGGGACAGGUGAAUUUUCUAUGUAGAAUUGGUACCACUUACCUUGGCUUAAUGAAGUAGCCUUCUUUUCUCUCUUGUAAAAAGAACUGAAUUUUCCUUGCUUGUCUCGAAGCAUGGAAAAAAUUUAUAAUUCUAAUCUCGUCCAUUUGUGUUUGCUCAAACUAAAUGGAGCCUGAAAUCUUUUCAUCUUAUUCCUAAAAAACUAUCCUUUCAUCUUCCUUUUGUUUUGCUUGCUCAUUAUUUUUGCGUCCUUUAAAACAUGGAAUGGAAAUAAAUCUUCAUAAACAUGGCAAGCACCAACCUUUUGAUUUAUUUUUUGAAUAAAAAGACCAAGAAUUAACAAGACACAACCUCAAGGAAAAAAGAACUAAUGAGACGUAGAAUGAAAGGUAUUCCAUGAAUUGUGGCAAAAAUAGAUUCAUCGAAUAUAUUUAAUUUUACAUCGAAAUAGUUAGCUAGUGAUCAUUGGUACAAGUGCUACUUAUCCAUCGUGUGAACUUUGAAGUGCUAUCCAUGUGCUAUGUACGUUCAUAUUGAUGUGUAUAUACUAUGUGCAAUGGGUAACUUUCCACUAGCCACCUGUGUGUGCCAUAUAUGUUAAUAUUGCAAACAUGUUGACACUAUUCAAUAAGGCUCCAUGCCCCACUUUGUAGAUAAAGCAAAUACCACAAUAUGUCGGCACUAGCCAACACAAUAUGGGCGUUGGAUAGAAUAAAAAUGCACUAACUAAGAUAAUAUUGCUCAACAAAGAGGAGAACAUAUUGAAGCUAAGGGGGUGUGGUUAGGCAAAAGAUGAUGUGCAGUGCCUCCCGAUCGGAGUCCAAUUAUGGAAAAAGCUUAGUUCCAUUACAUAAAAAUAGGAUGCACCAACAAUUUGAACCAGUUACCCAUUACUGGACAAUAUAAUGUUUUCAAUGCCAAAAGAAAUAUUUCAAAAAUUUUGACAUGAGCACCUUGAAAUAAAACUCUGAUAGGCACUAAAAACGCCAUAGACAACAUAUCUGUAUUUUGUAGGUACAGCUGGCCAGGCAUAUCUUUGGAGAUACCGACUGGUGAAGGCUAAUGCCAUCACCCAUUUAACUAGUCAACAUCUCUGCACUUCACAAUUUCUAGGCUUAAUCUUGCAAUGUUGUCUUGGCUCUUAAAACAAGGGUACCUUAAAAACAAACCAACAAAGGUUAACAAAAAUAUAAACUUUCUAGGGCACACCUCAAUUCCCAAUUUGGAAGAGAUGAUGGUUUCAUCGGGAACCACUUUUUCCAAAUGUUCAGAUAGUAAAACAACAAAUGUUGAAUGUACAUUUGUACCGAAACACUGUUGGGUGGGAGAGGGGGUGAAGUUUCAUCAUGGAUUCUGAAGCCAAGAAAAGAUGAAUACAACCCUUGGCUCGGUGUUUUGCUUUCUUGAGCGUUUCGGUGUUCCCUACGUGUUCGUACUGGCUGCAUCGUGCCCUUACAAUUCCAAAGUGAAUUAGACUGCCUACUAUUUUCGUGAUGUGAAAUAACUCCACCUUAAUUUCCACAUUGACUUAAUGGGCAAUGGAAACACAUCCAACUGGUCCUUCAGGCUAGACAGCAAUGCCAUGGCAUCCAUCCAAACUACACCAUACCGUAAAAGCUUAUCUCUACUAAGUGAGAACAAAAACGGUUUCCUUGUUCAACACCUUCAUUCAACAUAAAGUUUUCGGGGUGGAAGCAAUUCUGUUUGUGGUUACAGAUUUCUCUCCUUUCUGACAAGCAGAUGUGGGCCUCAUAUGUUCAGAGGGGAAGCAUGUGGAUGUGGAGAGGUUGUAGCAACUCCUCCUAAGAGCUCAGAUGGUUGUUGAGGAAGCAUAUGGGCGGUACAUCACCAACUCUGGUAUGCUUCUACAACUAAAGAUGCUAGCUAGGGCUAUGUACCAUGGUUAUCAUGCGGUAGACACUUUCAAGUGCAACGAAUUAAUAAACAAAGAGGGCUCUACAUAAGUGCUGAGCACUGGCAAUUUUUUGUAAUAUCUUGGCACUCCCCUCAAGUGCUGCCAUACAAACAAACUCGCGUAUAUCAGAUCACAAAGUUUGUAACAACCAGGACCUACAGGGUGCCUUACUAAAUUUAGAGACGGUCAUCUCUAAUAUUACAGAGUUUGUUAUACAUUUGGGUCGGUGCAAACCGAUGUUUCGCAGACCCUAUGACACAUACCUUUACGUCAACAACUUCAUGUUCGGUCGUUUGACCGAGAAGCAACACGUUAUCAACUUCUUGUUACAACGGAAUCAUCUUGGUUCUCCAUCUGUGGUUCCCAUCAUUGGUGGCUAUCAAGUCCGUGGUCACUUAUCUUCAAUUUUGCACUUUAAUGGACACAACUUUUGUAGGAUAGACAAUGAAAGGUGCACAUCAGGGAGAACAUUGGUUAUUCUUGAAUUCCUUUCAGAUGUUGAUGAUGAGAAGUGGAAACCUUUUUACUGGGAGUGACAUCCAUAAGCACAGAAAGUAAGGUUAUAAUCAUAAGUAAGAUGGAAAUCUUGAUGAGAUAUGGUACUGUGAAGCCAAUAUCCACCAUUCCACCUAAGUGAAUUACCAGAAGAGGAGUACAAGCCACUAGCAUUUGGAAGUGCAAACGGUGAGGACUACCCGAACCCACGGGCGGAGACAGGGGAGGACUAUCCGAAGCCAGGGGCGGAGACAGGGGAGCAUGGGCCUACCCCGCCCCAAAGAUCGACAGAACCUGAAGUAUUUAGUGUACAUUUGACUGAUAUGAACAAGCUAGCAUUGUUGGUAGGAGAAUUCAUCCAAUUGUUGGAUUGGUCAUUUGUGGCCGCAUAUUUCAUUACCAAUGCAUUGAGGAUUAAUCUAACCCUUCGAUACUGGCUUUCCAUUUUUAAGAGAUACAAGAAUGUGACAAAGAACAACUUGCCCACAUUUGGUCAGCAUAUGUCACACCGCUUCAAAAAUCAUUGUCCAGUCGACUUCACCAACUUUCUUCCUUAUCCCGCUGCGCCAUUAUACCUUAUGCCUCCUCAGGGGGUGUUUGUUUCAGCUUUUGGUGGCUUUCCACGAAAAAAAGCCAACAAAGCUCACCAAACAGCCUAGCUUAGCUAUUGGCUUUGACAAAGCCGACCUCUCCAUUGCACGUAGGAGAGAAAGCACCCCGAGACGUGCUUUCCGUGGCUUUCCUUCGCUUCCCGCAAAGUGAUCCGAACCGUUUUGUAUAAGGGACAUUUCGUUCUAAGGAAAUUACAACCGAAUGCCACUCGAAUUUUUCCCACAGCCCCACCGCUCCCUGCCUCCACCCCACCAGUCCCUUCCACGAACACCACGCGCCCGACGCAUCCUCCUAGGGUUCCUCCUCCCGCCGCCGCCGCCUCGUCUACUCCUCCCGCCGGCGAGCGGUGCACCUCCUGGCGGCGAAGACCUUCUCCCUCCGUCGCCAUCCUCCCGUCCCCGCCGUCCUCGAAGUGGCACGCAGUCCUCCCGUCGCCGACAGCACGAACUCCGCCGCCGGCCUCCCGUCCCCUCCUCUCUGCUUCUCCCGGCCUCGUCGUCCGCCGCGGAGGGAUCCCCGCCGUGCUAGCUCGCCGCUGCUGCCUCCUCCCUGCCGGAUUCGUCCACCUCCCUGCCGGAUUCGUCCACAGCCCUGCCGGAUUCGUCCACCUCCCUGCCGGAUUCGUCGUCGGCCUCAGGUAUAGCUCCCGUCCCCUCCUCUCUGCUUGUACUGCUUGGGCUCCCAUAGAUGCUAGGACUUGCUUGGCCUCCAUAGAUGGGAUAGGAACAGCAAGUACUUGCCGCCUCCAUUUGUUUGUAGCUAGUUUAUUUGUUUGUAACAGCAAGUACUGGGAUAGGAACAGCAAGUACUGGCCUCCAUCUGAUGUUUAUUUGUUUGCUGUAAUUUUGAUAGAAACUAGUGAAGAAACAAUGGUUGCCACUUGGGAUGCAUACCGUAUUAGAGUGUUUUGCGACAUUUGUAUGGAAGAAGUGAACAACAACAAUAGGGAUGGGGGCUGCUUGAGUAAAAAAGGCUAUGAAAAUCUGGAGAGAAAAUUUUAUGAGAAAGUAGGAGAGAAGCUAGUGAGGAAAAUGGGAUCAGUUGAAAAAGGAGUACACGUGGUGGAUGGAAUUGCUAAAUGCAACCAGACUAGGCUGGGAUCCCCAAACAAAAACCAUGGAUGCAGAUGAUGAUUGGUGGAAAAUUCACCUAGAGGUAAUUUAUCAUGUUUUGAACUAUCUUUCUUCCUGUCUAGUUUUUGCUCGAAUAAUUGGACUCAUGUAUCUAUUCUGUUAUUAUUUUCAGAUGCGCCCCGAUCAUGCAAAAUUUAGGAACGGGCCACCUCCCAAUUUGGAGCAGCAAGAUGUUGUGUUUAGGAAGGCACAUGUCACCGGAGAAUCAGCGGCCAUUGCUGGACAGGAAACAGGAGGGGGCAAGGAAGCUCCAAUAUUGCUUGAGGAUGAUCGUGGUACCUCCUCCAAAAUAACAGGAAAGCGCAAGUUUGGUGCUGGAGAAGGCAACGAAAAAGAGAGCCCAUUUUUCACGGUUUACAACAAUGCUUUCAACACACUUGUUUCAAGGAAUGAAGGUAGUUCUUCCACCAAGGCUGACAAGGUACGAUAUGUAUUUUGGACAAAUCUAUAUCCUACUAAUAUUUUUUUUAAUGUUAUGUAUUACUCGGAACUCUAAGGGUACGAUAUUCUAUUUGUGUAAUGGUACUCGGAACUCUAAGGGUAUUUUAGACAUAUCCUCGAUCCACAGCUAGACAGCCAGUCAAGUCGCCAAACAGUGACAUUCAGAUAAGCAGCUUUCCCUGCACAACAGCUUUCCCUUCACAGCCACCGCCACAGCCACAGCCAGCCAGCCACAGCCCAAACAAACAGGCCCUCAGACUAAAGGUGAGGUUUCCGAAAGGAGACUGCCCAAGAUUACAAUUUAGAGACAGAUACUUGGUCCUUUUUUGGUCCGAGCAGCAUUUGUAGCCUCCACAAUCUUCUCCCAAAUGUCUGUCGUCGUGCUAGUAACCAAAGGCUAGGAUGCAGGAUUUACAAACUGAUAGCCCUGCCAACGCGAGGCCUGGAUCCAUAUGUGGUUGGCCAUGUGACAUGACCAGAGUAGGUGAGUAGAGGACUCGAGCUCCCGCAUACUCCACAUAGUUGGCAAAAAUAUUCAUUGGGACAACAUCUUCUCCACAGACGAUCGGCACACCAGACGUGGUUCAUUCGGAGGAGUCAAACGAAGAACUUGAACCUUGUCGCGCCCAAGCGGUCCAGAAGGAGGACCUGAGCUUGUGGAAUAGAAUCAUGCCUUGGAAUUGUGCAAAAAAAAAAACAAAAAAAUGAAUUGUGCAAUGUUUGAUUGGACUUUAUAGAAUAAAUUCCAGCUUGUGAAAUUCCAAGUGAUGGAAUCGUCCACGUCCACACUUGGCUGACUGUUUCUCUCCCGAAGUACUCUCUUCUUCCUAAAAUAAAUGACUCAGCUUUGUACUCACUCCAUCUUAGUUUAUAAGUCCGACACGUGUAUUUAGGUCAUUAAUCUGACCAACUUAAUGAUAAACAUAUAUUAUAAAAAAAUAUAUCAUUAAAAACUUUAGAUGUUUUAUUUUCUAAUGAUAUAAUUUUUAUAUUAAAUAAUAGAUUUUAUAUAAGUCAAAUUAACAACCUAGGGACACGUACGUGUAUUCUAAAUUGUGACGGAGGUAGUACUAACUUUAAUACUACAAAGUUAGUGCAAAUCACUUAUUUUGGAACAGAUGGGGUAGCUUACAAACCGAGAGUAAAUUUACCACCACAAGACUCAGACGUGCAGAAUCAUAGAAGAAUAACUAGUCGUGCAUGCAUUCUUCAUAUGAAGAGAGAGAAACAAUGUGUAGCAGAAAGAACUGCAUGGGUGGAGCACUAUACGCAUGACUGCAUACAUGACCAUCUCAUGAUCUAGGCAUGUGGCUCGUAUAUAUAUAGUCCAUCAAAAAGUUUCUUUCUUCCACAAUUUCUUAGCUGGAACCUAUAGAUGGAAGCAUAAGUAAUGCUGCACUAGGUGGAUAUACUUAGCUUAGCUACCUGCAAUUUCUAUAAGAUGUUGGAGUGAAACAAAAAGGCCAUGUGUGUUCCCAUAAGAGCAGUGCGAUCGAGUACUGUGUACCUGGGAAUUAGUCAGGAAAAUGAUGAAGUGUAAUUCAUAUUGGACAAGGUAACGGGGAGCUCUCUGGAUUGAAAUCCUAGCGCACACGGUGCUAGGAUCACAAAAUCUUUUGUAGGACUUCAAACAACACCCACAUAGUGUCAUACAUGCAGGCAACGAAUGUUCGUCCCUCUAGCGUGGUAUAUCAAUCUGGCAGCUCUUUUGACGAGCUUAUCCUAGUUCCCCGUGUCUAGCUACACCUGGGUGCAGCACAAGUUGUAUUGGAAGAAAAAUUGAUUUUUGGUUUUGAAGCACAGAGAAAGCAGUAACUCAUAUUCAGUGGGGCAUAAUGGACGCAUAUGGGUGAGACGCGGUAUGGAUUAGCUAACAGUAAAGAAAUAUACUGAUCUAGAAUACAUUUUUUUCAAACACGCAUUAUAGAAGAUAUAUACGCUUCCAUUGUUGAGUAAAUGGGCAAUUUUUUGAAUAGAUUAAUCCAUGAAAUAAUCACUAACAUGGCAUUGACUAGAUUCAUGACAUACUGAUUAUGGAGAAGACUAGCAAGUACUACGCAUAUAGUAGAAACAUCUACGCAUGUGACUAGUACUUCUAGGAACAAAAUAAACAGGAGUGGGAUAAACGAGUUAUACCCUCCGAUGAGCCAGUUGGCCGCAGCAGCAGCAGCAGUGACGGCGUUACCAUCCUCUAUCGCCUUCUUCUUGGCUUCGGCCUUCCCGCGAGCGAGACGGUCGGCUUCGGUUGGUGAAGACAUGGCGAUGACGAAGGCGGCACAUACGUAGAUGAAGCAGAUGGACGAAGGCGAGAAGUCGCGUGAUCGCUCCCAAAAAACCUAAUCGCCCCUCUCCCGUACAGGAUCUGGAGAGGCGGGGUUUCGGAGGCCUCCUCUCCCGUCGACUGUGUACGUGGUGAACGCGACGGAGUCGUCGGCGAUAGCAGCAGCAAAAGGAAAGAGCGCGUGAGGCAGAGGCGAUCUGAUCUCCUGACGGCUAGGGUUGGCGUUAGCCCUCCUUAUAUAGGUGCGGCCGGGUGGAGAGAUGUGGGCUGGACCCACGUCCGAGUCGGUAACAGCCCACGAUCCGUCGUCUUGGAUAGUGGCGUGUCCGUUACAUACUCUUUGUUCCUGACCGACAAAAAUGUAUGAGCUCGGCUCAUUCCCGCAACCCGCGACGCGACACGGUGAGCGGAGGAGGAGGAGGAGUGUGUGAGGGCCUCUUCUCUUCUCAUGCUCCAAUAGCAUGUAGAAGAGAGACCCUUGUAAAGGGGUCCAAGUCCCUCUCCACUAGCAAGGUGGGACUAAACUUCCCACCACCCCUUGCCAUGCCAACACCUACAUGGGCCAUUUCUAAAAUCUUAUCAUGGGCCUUAGGACCGUCACAGAUUUCAACAAUCCCCCACCAGAUCUCAAGGGCACAUUGUAUUCUUCCGUUCCAAUCACUGUUUUGAUAUACCAGCAUUUUAGUGAAGACCUGUUAAGGUUGAGCUUCACUUAGAGCAAGCAGCUACACUCCUUUACAAGAACAAUGGACUAUGCCUUGAAUUGUCAGUUUGGCGUAAAGAAGUUUCACCACAAGUAUUACUAGUACUAGGCUGCCGAAGGCGGACCCCUCGGGUGGAGCAUAUUAGUCACACUCCUAGUCUAUUCAUGAGUUUACUAGAGAUCACCCCAAUCUCAUAGACUGUGACCAGCAGUCGGGCUCAUAUAGGUGUGUUCCUCCAAAGAUCGCUCUGUAGGACAGCAUCUUGCUUACACAUAAACAUUAGAACACAUUAAGACAAUAUUCAUCCUACCAUACAGUAUCCGAGAGUAUUGCAUCUCCAACGGAGUGGGUUAGUAAAGUUACUCUCCUCAGUUCACCAUUCGCUUGUUUUCGCAGGUCCUACUUCAUGGGAUCUUUGAUCAUAUAGGUUGGGAUACUGCCAUGGCAACUCAUGUGGUUCUCAUACCCAUCUCCCUCGAUGCAUUAUCUAUCACAACACAUAGGAGCCCUUUAGUAAAGGGAUCUGCCAGAUUCUUAGCCGUUUAGAUGUAAUCCAGCGCUAUCACUCCGGAUUUUCUUAAACGUCUGACAUACUUCAAUAUCAUUCUUAUAUGUUUGUUGGACUUCAUGUUGUCCUUUGAACUCUUCACUUUGACAAUAAAUGUCUGAUUAUCGCGGUUCAUAAGAAUAGCCGGAACCGGCUUCUCAACCAUUGGCAAGUCCAUCAAAAUAUCUCUAAGAAAUUCUACUUCGACACUAGAUGUGUCUUAUGUUGUUAAUUCUACUUCCAUCGUUAAUUGAUCUCGUUAAAAUCGUUUGCUUGCAAGACUUCCAGGAAAUAGCACAACCUCCAAGAGUAAACAUAUACCCAGUAGUGGCCUUCAUCUCAUCAGCAUCAGAGAUCCAAUUCGCAUCACUAUACCCUUCAACUAUCGAUGGGUAUCCCGUAUAGUGUAGUCUGUGGUUGAUAGUACCUUUCAGAUAGUGCAUAAUUCUUUCAACAGCACGCCAAUUAACAUCACCCGGAUUGGCAACAAACCGGCUCAGUUUGCUCAUAGCAAACGCGAUGUCAGGCCUCGUUGCGCUAGCUAGAUACAUAAGUGAACCAAUAAUUUGAGAGAAUCUUAAUUCAUCUAUAGAUGUGCCUCUGAACUUUCGAAUCAACACACUAGGAUCAUAUGGUAUUUGAGAAAUUUUGCAGUAUGAAUAUCCAAAGCGACUCAAAAUCUUCUCAACAUAGUGGGAUUGCACAUGUGUAAUCCCACCCUCAUCAUCUCUCAAAAGCUUGAUGUUCAAGAUAACAUCAGCCACCCCAAGGUCCUUCAUCUCAAAGUUCUGAGAUAGAAAAGACUUAACCUCCUCAAUCACUUUGAGGUUGGUUCCAAAUAUCAGUAUGUCAUUAACAUACAAGCACAAUAUAACUCCUUCGCCCCCACCAUGGCGAUAGUAUAUACAUUUUUCACCUUCAUUAACAACGAAGCCAACAUAUGUCAAAGUUGUAUUAAACUUCUCAUGCCAUUUCUUAGGUGCUUGUCUCGGGCCAUAUAAAUAUUUCAACAACUUACACACCUUUCCUUCCCGACCAUCUAUCACAAAGCCAUCUCGCUGUUGCUAUAGAUUUCCUCGUUUAGCUCUCCAUUAAGGAAAGUUGUCUUAUCGUCCAUUUGAUGAACGAGAAGACCAUGCGAGGCUGUCAACGAGAGUAGUACUCGAAUGGUGGUCAGUCUGGCCACAGGUGAAUAAGUAUCACAGAAAUCUUCUUCUUCUUUCUUGGCAUAGACCUUGUCCACAAUUAUAGCCUUGUAGUUUUCAAUUGUACCAUCAGGCCUAAGCUUCCUUUUGAACACCCACACGCAUGCCAAUGGAUUGCAACCAUAGGGAUGAUCAGUAAUUUCCCAUGUCGCAUUAGCCAUGAUGGAAUCCAUCUCUCUAGGGACCGCGGCUUUCCAGUAUUCGGCAUUUGGAGAUGCAUACACAUUUGAAAUGGAAGUGGGAUUAUAAUCCACGAGGUAUACGAAGAAAUCAUCACCAACGGUCUUUGGAGUCCUUUGUCUCUUGCCCCUACCAAAGGUUUCCACGUCAUCCUCCUCAGGAUUUUCAUCAUGUGUUUGUUCAUAAUUUUCCAUAGGAAUGGCAGGCUCGGGAGUUUCCUCAUAUUCCUGUCUACAAGUGCUUUGCAUAUCUUUCAUGGGAAAAAUAUCCUCAAAGAAUGUAGCAUCCCUCGACUCCAUAAUUGUUCCAACAUUCACGUCAGGUACCUCAGAUUUCACUGCUAGAAAUCUAUAGCCAACGCUAUUCUUAGCAUAGCCCAAAUUAACGUAGUCCACAACCUUUGGUCCAAGGUUAUGCUUUUUAGGGAUCGGCACAUUGACUUUCCCCAAGCAGCCCCAAGUACGGAUGUACGAUACCCUCAUCCUUCCCGUCGACCAUUCCUCAUAGGGUGUGACCUCAUUAUCUUUUGUAGGAACCAUAUUCAGGACAUGACAUGCACUCAAUAUAGCCUCCCCCCACCAUGCCUUGGAUAAACACGAUGUAUCUAACAUGGCGUUAACCAAAUCAGUUAGAGUACGGUUUUUUCGUUCGGCAACCCCGUUUGACUCGGGUGAAUAGGGAGGCGUCCUCUCAUGAAUAAUGUCCUGUUUCGCACAAAAAGAAUCAAAUUCAUUUGAGAAGUACUCUCCACCACGAUCAGACCGGACUUGUUUAAUUUUCUUUUAAAGUUGAUUCUCAACUUCUGCCUUAUAGAUUUUAAAGUAUUGUAGAGCCUCAUUUUUCGUAUUUAACACAUACACAUAGCAAUAUCUAGUGGAAUCAUCUAAAUGUCAUGAAAUAUUUCUUUCCACCUUUAGUCAACACACCAUUAAUCUCACAAAGAUCAGAAUGUAUGAGUUGUAAUGGCGCCAAGUGUCUCUCCUCUGCAGCCUUGUGAGGCUUGCAAGGUUGCUUGUCUUGCGCACAUGAAUGGCACAUAGAACCUUUGGCUGAAGUGAAACUCAAGAUUAAAUUCAGUUUUUCUAGCCGCGACAUAACACCGAAACUUAUGUGACAAAGACGAGGAUGCCAAACAUUAGAUUCAUUAACACUCGAAUGCAUAUUUUUCACGACUUUAUUACAAAAAUCUCCAAGGGAAAGGCAGAACAGACCUCCGCAUUCAUAACAUUUACCAACAAAAGGUCCAUAUUUCGUAACAACUACUUUAUUAGACUUGAAGACCAACUUAAACCCUUCUCUACACAGAAGGGAGCCACUAACGAGGUUCUUCUUGAUGGUGGGGACAUGUUGCACGUUCUUCAGCUGCACGAUCCUUCUUGGUAAACUUCAGAUCGACCGUGCUAACACCAAGAAUACAAGCACUCGCGCCAUUUCCCAUCAAUAUGGACCCUCGGCAUGUGACCUGGUAAGAAGUGAACAAUGAGAUGUCAGCACAGACAUGAAUAUUUACACCUGUGUCCACCCACCAAUUGGUAGAUUGACAAACUGAAAAUACAAUAAAAAAAUACCGUACCCAGAUGUACCACUUUCAUUGUUGCUAACAAUCAUAUUGGUAGACUUGGAGUCAUGCACUGGCUUCUUGUACUUGUUUGGACACUUACAGGCCCAAUGUUCCUUAGGACCGCAAUUGAAGCAGCCAUCUCCCUUCUUGUUCUUCUUGAAGGUCUUCUUAACCUUCUUAAAGUCACUAUUCUGUUGGACAGAAUUCUUCCCCUUGGGCUUGUGGGAAUUGAAGUUCCUCUCAUGCACCAUAUUGGCAACAAAAGGACCUUCGACCGUUUUUUUGUGCGAGUCCUUUGCUCUCGAGUUCUGCUCAACACUCAGAUGGCCGAUGAUAUCCUUUAUUGAGAAUUCACGCCUCUGAUCUUUCAGAGUGGUAGAAAAUUUCCUCCAGGAAUUAGGGAGCUUAGCGGUAUUACACCCCACGACAAAUUUCCUCGGUAAAUCGCACUUAAGAACCUCAAGUUCUUUAGCAAUGCAUAUUAUCUCAUGAGCUUGUUCCAAUAUAGAACGAUUAUCAACCAUUUUGUAAUCAUGGAACUGCUCCAUAGCAUACAUCUCGCUCCCAGCAUCGGUGGCCCCGAAUUUGGAUUCGAGCGCCUCCCACAAGUCAUCAGAAACGUGCACAUGUAAAAAUGCAUCAACUAGCUUAUCUCGAUGGGGUAGGCAUAAUCAUACAUCAUGCCUACUACCUCUUGUUGCAUAUAUACCUCACAAGCUUUGAGAAUGUAGUGGUCGUCCUUGCAUAAGUGAUUUUUCACAUAAUCCUCAAAAUACUGCAGCAACAGUACAUGUAGCAAUCAGAACAUCGAAAUAGUAUAUCAUGUUUUGUUCAAGGUUCUUGAUGGUAUGCAACUAAGAUAGGAAAACCUCAUGAGAUUUGAUUGCAUUCCUACAUGUGAGAGCUAGGCCAUAAUGGAAUUCCAUUUUAUAUUAAAAUGUUACCUUGAAGCAACUUUGUGCUGAUACAAGUGAUGGUUCAGGUUUUAUCAAUUGAAAAACAUAACCUCACUAAUUAUAACCUUAGGGACAUUAUGGUACUCACAAUAAUUAGUAAAAAUAUAUAUUUGUCUAAAAUAAAUGUAUAUUGGCUCAUGAGAGAGAAUUAGGAAGGUUAAACAUGGUGCUAAGAAAUUAUUAGUCUUGUUAUAAAGAAGAGAGCAGUCUUUCUAAAUUAUUAAGUAGUUCUAAAUUAUUAACUACUUAAUAACAAUACGAGACCAAUUCAUUGGCUAUCAAUAAGGGAGUGUACCAUACCAGGACGUCUCAAGAUAUACACACACAGAUACCUAAAAAUAAAACUUUGAAAAUCAAACAUUGAAAGUGAUAAUAAAUAGGUAUUUCAUAGGCACACAUGAUUAGGCAUAUCUUUGGAGGCUUUGUAUCUUUACUCCUAGAAUUUAUAGGAUUGACCUUGAAAGCUAACCUGGUCCUUAAAUAACCCCACAACCUUAAAAAUAUAAAUUAUGCAGGGCACACCUCAACUCCUAGUUUAGAAGAGAAUGAUUCAUUUGGAAGCAUGUUUACCAAAUGUUAUGUGGGGGGGCCCGACUCACAAGUCGAGAUCACCAAAUAUACGUGCACAGUGAUCCCAGAGGUCAAUGCUCUCUGAACACACAGAAACUGAAUAACAAGAGUCUUACAUCCAUUACGUAUCGUUUUACUCGAAUAUGGCAUUCAUGGUCAAGUCUUCAUAUAUUUGUAGCAGAAAAUCAUCAUCAAUAGCGUGAACCCAUGCCAUCUAUCUUAACCCUACGGGCAUUCUGAAUGGAAAGCGUCCUAGCUUGCACGAAUGUCGCCAAGGUAUUCUUCAUCAUAUCCUGUUCUCUCAUGGAUGGUAAGUAAAAUAACUAGGGGCAAGCCAAUGAGUACAUAGAAUGCGUCCGCAAGCAACCCAUGUUUGGAACAAGGCAAUAACAAUGCAAGAUAUAACACUAAGUAGGUAAUUUGCAGAAAGCUAGUUAAUUUUGAGCGCAAUGUCAGGAUCAAUCAACUUGUAAAAGCAUGCAUUAACAGGUUGCAAGUAUCCAUACGGACAAAACAUAGAUAUCAUCGUAAGCAAGGGGUUGAACAUCCCAUGUUCAUUUAUCAUGUCAAGUCAUCCGACUUAUCUCAAGUAUCAUCCUUCUCACACACACACACCAAGUUUGUGAAAACAUCUAGACGUAGUUUAAGCAGCACCACCCAACUGUCCUUGACCGUGGACAUGGCUAUUCGAAUAGUUUUACACUCUGCACAGGUUUGCACGUUGUACCCACAAGACUCGGGGAACUUUCGUGUCAUUCACGACUCGCGGUAUAUAACAUACCCGAGGUAAGCACCCGAACAAUGCAUUUCCUCUGGCGACACUAAACAAAGAGUCCACUCGGUUGGUACACAGCCCUCAUGAUGUACAUAAUACGAGCCUCCAUCUAGAUCGUACCAUCCACGAAGGGACCAAUGGUGUGCCCGGUCUCUGUAAAAAUAGCCCAUGGUCGCCCUACCUGGAACGACCCCGUGUUGAGAGAGUGACUCGGCUCUCCCCCCACUAGUAAUGUGGGCUCUCUGGUAGCAUCGACCAAAAUAUUCAACAAAGCCCCAUCCCAUAAAGGGGUAAUGUGGUCGCACAAAUAAGGUUGGGAUGGUCGACAAAUCUUAAAUUUAAUCCAUUUUCGAAGACACACACUCACAACUUGAUCCAGUACACCACUUCUUUCUCAAGUGGUCACCUAUCUCAACAUAAUAUCCCUUGGGCAUUAGUGGCACCCGACGGGGUUUUCAACAAAUCUUUGAAAUCAUUUCCUUCAUCCUCACCAUGCAUAUUCCCAUCCCAUUUGCGUAGCAAGUACUAGCAGCCUAACUAUCUCCCACCCGCACAACCCUCAUAGGAAGGUAGGGUCAUGCUCAGUGCAAGUAUCAACGAGGAGUUAUUGGAGACAACCCACCAAGGUGGUCACCGAUUCAACAUGAUUCAAAUGCAACGAAGUAAAGUUCCAUAUGACAUGCAUAAAAGGGUUUCAUAGUCAUGGUCAAAGGGUUGCUUGUAUGGCUCAGCAAAGUCUUCGAUGUCUUCAUAGCUUCUCGUCCAACUCCGAGCGAUUCGUCUAAUUCGUCAACUAUCACCGAAAACAACCACAAUAAGCCACACAACAAGCAGAGAAACAAAGGUGCUUUAUAAAUAGGAGUUUUAUUUUUAUUGGACAUUUCUGGUCAUAAGAAAAAUUUCUAAAUAUUGUUCUAAUGGAUUUGGAUCACCGGAGAAUUUUGAACGGAGGAAAUGGAGGCAUCACUGGCCCCACACGAAGUCUACAGAAAAUAUUUCCUUCAAAAUGAAUGGAGGCCUUCAUUUAAUAGGGCAUGAUUUUAGAAUACUUUUGGAAGUGGUUUCAAUAGAUUUGGAGUUGAUAUGAAUUCCCUAGAGAUUUAAUUAGAUGGAAUAAAAUGCAAAUGGAACUAUUUAUUCGGCCUAUCAGAAACAAUGCAUGAGAAGAAAAUGUUCACCUAGGCUACAAAAAUAGAGCAUGAUUUUACAGACAACUAGGAACAUGAAUCACUCCAUUUGGAGUUGAUUUGGAUGUUGUAGGAAUUUGCAAAGUGGGGGUUUGAAAUAUUCAAAUUUGAAUUUGAAUAUUAAUACUAUAGAAAAUAUCUCUAGAAAAAUGUGCAAUGGACAUAUUCAGAUAGCAUAUGAUUUUAGGAAUCUGCAAGAAUUUGAAUUACCUAUUCUAGAAUUCGUAUGAAUUUAAUAUCAAUUUUUGAAUCUCUCUUAAAAAGGAAAAUAAAAGAGAAGGCUAUACUCUAUAGGCUAUUCGGCGCUGAGGAUGCGGGGUAGGCAUGUGGAAGCAACGGGUCGGCCCAGGAGCUCUCGUGCGCGCCUUGGGUGGCCACCUCGAAGGCGCACUCCCUCGAUUGUGUCUUCCACACGAUUAGGCAGAAAAAGGCGCGGGGGGCCUCCAGUUAAACCGGAAGGCCCGGGUUUUGGCUUGCUGACAAGGGGCCCUGCCUGUAGGGCCGCUCCGUUGCACCAGUCGUCGAGCUGGUGGCCUUGGCGGAUGCCCCACCUUGGGCCGCACCCAUGAACUGUCUCGAGGGUCGCGAGGGUGCGCGGAGCCCUCUCCUCUCCAGGAGGGGCGGACGGGAGCGUCGACCGUUGCUAACAGCAUGGCACGGGCUCGCGAACGAAGGCUGGGGGUGCCUGGGUAGAAGCUCUUGUCGACGGCGACCCUUCGGAGUUGUCGGAUGAGGAGAGGGGGGACCGGCAUGCUCGAAUUUGAGUGGGGUCGAGCGGCAGCAAUGGCAGCCAUGGGAGGAGAAACGGGUCACGGGAGGAUGAGUGGGGAGGCCCAGGAGGCAAUUAGGGGUGAGAGGAAGCGAGAGGGGACAAGAGGGGGCUCGGGGAGGAGCAUUUAGGCAGAGGGAGGACCAGGAGGGGUCGCGUGCGCCUUGCAUGCCUUCGGGCGCGUCCACCAUGUGGGCCUGAGCCGCUUUGGAUCCUUCCUCACAUCAGGGAGAGGCGUGGGAGGAUGAGAGGAGAUGCCUGGCACGCUGGGAAGACCUACCGCUAUUGGACACCAGGUACAAGACGAGGACAACAUGCAAACCGUCGUUUCUACAGGCCACGGGUGUGGUCACCUUGCCAACCCGUAUCGAGAUCAUUAUUUUGGUCACCCCAAGUUGAGUGGGGUGCUAGGCUUGGAUGGUAGAGUGUGAUGGUGGAGUUUGGAUGCAUAUGAGGCCUGGUAGAAUUGGUUUCUACUCUGGUUAAGUUUGUAGCAGCAAAUUUGGGGCUGAGAAAAUGGCUUUUUACUGGUGGGCACUUGGAAGUAAACCUUGUCUAGUGUCCCUAGCUAUGCAAGGACUACAUGACCACCAAGUUUCAGCUCAGGGAGAUGAGAUUAGCUACCACUUGUAGUUCAAGGCUACAUUUCUGCCAAAAAUCUAGUUUUCGAAGGACUGCUCACAUUAUCCACAUGAGCAUGCCAUCUUUGGGCUUGGAUUGAUGCAUCACUAUGCAAAUGAGGUUGUGGUAGAGUUUUGGGGGAAUUUGCAUGCAUAGUAUAAUGGGAGAUGGAAAAGAGAGGUGUACCCAUGUUAUUCAAGUGGUAAAAUGGAGGGGUUUUACCCACCAAUAAUUGAGCAGAGGCCAAGCCAAAUUUCUGGAGGUAGAAUAGGGUCAGAAAAUAUGGUGGUAGAAAAUUGUAGGCAAGGGGAAUCUUUUUGGAUCAACAUUGCUUGUCCUCUAGUUUAUGGCAGAAGGUGUUUGUGCUAUGUUUGGGCUAGGUAUAAGAAUCCUAUGGCCUUGAUAUUUACCAUGAGUGAUGGUAAGACCAUUUGGCUGUGAUCACCAAUUUUGAGAUUACAUGGUGAAAGUUGACAAUGUAAACUUGACAAACCCUAGAAGUGGGCAGAAAUGCUUUCUCUUAAAUAAAUCCAUGCAAAUCAAUUCCCCAUAAUGCAGCACUUGGUGUGGUGGCAUUAUUUUAGGAUCAUAGUGUGCCCAAAAAGUUUGGGGUAAUUUGGACAAACUUUCCAAUGCAAAUAUUCCCAAUUCUAGAAAUCAGCAGAAGUGGUUUUGAGCGGUUUUGGACAAGUGGAUAUGUUCUCCUUGAUGCACCACUUGGUGUGGAUGCAUCAUUGGGGUAUUCUAACAUGUCCACAAAAUUUAAGAGCAAAAGGAUAAACUUGGCAAUGUAGAGUUGCUCAAAUUUGGUUCUGGAUAGAUUGGGUUUUGGAAUAUUUUUGUGAAUCAAAUCAAUUUGAAUUGAGAUGAAACUUUGCAAUAUCAUAACAUAUAUCAUGUGGGUCUUGCUAGAAUUUUCCUUGAAUUUAUUGAGAAUAUUUCUUGUGGUAAUAUUUCAAAAGCUUGAAAUAGGAAGAAAAGGUUUUGAGAGAUUCUGUCCAAUAUUUUAACAUGACAAUGUGUUGAAACUCUUAUAUAUGGAAAACUAUAUGUCCACUGAGUUUCCCUAAAUUUUCUCAAAUAUUUUGGAAGCAAGAAAAAUAUUUUUUCUUCACAAAAAACCAUUUUUGGCUUUAGAAAAGGUAUUUAAAUAAAAUAGGAAAAAAAUUAGUAUUGGGAAAUCUUUUUGAUAAUAGGAUCAAAAUAAAAUAUUUGGGGAAAAACAUAUUCCCUAUUUUGAGGACUUGUAGUACAAACCUCAAUUCGGGGGGGUGGAAAGCUAAAUCAAAUAAAUGCUUUCUGGUUAAAACGAUAUUUUAUAAAAAUAGUUUAUGUUCCUAUACACAUGGUGUGACGCCCUCGGCUUAAUCGUACGCUAAUCAUACACGCAAAUGCGUACGACCAAACCCAAGGACUCACGGGAAGAUAUCACAACACAACUCUAGACACAAAUGAAAAUAACAUCAACUUCAUAUUACAAGCCAGGGGUCUCGAGGGCUAGAAUACGAAAGCUCGAUAAACACACGAGUCAGCGGAAGCAACAAAUAUCUGAGUACAGACAUAAAACAUGGGGUGCCUUAGAGAAGGCUAGCACAAAAGAUACAACGAUCGAACGAGGCGAGGCCUCCUGCCUGGGAACCUCCUAACUACUCCUGAUCAUCAGCGGCCUCCACGAAGAAGACACCAUCGGGCCGGCAGGCGCCGGCAGGAAACUCCACUCCUGGGCUCCAUCAUCUGGUCACAGCAACGGAUCAAGGGGACAAAGGGGGAGCAAAGCAGCGGUGAGUACUCAUCCAAAGUACUCGCAAGUCUUACAUCAGAACUAUUCUAAAUAUGCAUCAGUAUCAAAGAAGGGGGGUGUUAUAUGUGGACUGACUGCAGCAAGGCGAGAAUAAAGAGAGAAGGCCUAGUCCUAUCGAAGACUAGCAUCUUCAGGGUCUUGCAGCAAUAGACGAGAAUAGAACAGGGGUAAAACAUUAAUAGUCAUAUUGUUGCAGCAAUAUUAAAGUGAGGUCGCGCCUAAAGAUCCUCCCUCGACUCCCUGCGAGGAAGCAAUCCCGAGGCAAACUAAUUCCAGUUAAAUAACAAUUGUAGUUGUAAAAGAUCGGGGCACAACUCCAAGUCGUCCUGUAACCGUGGACACGGCUAUCUGAAUAGUUAAUUUUCAUCCCUGCAGGGGUGCACCACAUGUCCCGUCACGCUCGAUAACACUCUGGCCGGACAUACUUUUCUUGGUCCUGCCCGGCCUCGGAAUAUCGACACGUCGCAGCCCCACCUAAGACUAAUCAGAGAGGCCAGCCCGCCGGUCUAAAUCCUAAGCACAAAGGGUUCGUGGGCCCAGUUCCCCUUCACGCUCCUGCAUGUGGCGUGGGCGGCCGACGUCAGUCCUAGCAUCCCUUAAUCACAAGCGCGAUGCAUCUCGGGACCACUCGGGCGCGCGCCGCUACAUUGCUGGCAUCUGAAAAGCUUCGGCUGAUACCGCGACGCUGAGUACCCAUAAUUCUUCCCGCGUAGCCGGUUAGUGCGAAAAGGUCUCCGACCAACCCAGAUCAAAUACCCAAAUCCAUUAACAUUUUAAUUAGGCCAGCAACACAGUCUCACGGGAAUCCACCCGUCUUACAACUAAUCACCAAUGAUCCCAGUAACAUGGUCGAGUAACUGUGUGGUUGUGACAUCGGGGGGAAUCCGAGGUAUCACCCUCGUUGGAUUCCGAACGAUGUACCCGCCAAGGUGGGCUUAGAGGAAUCACCCUUGAGGUUCCCACACUUGAGGGGUUGCACGAUAGAGGCAUCGUCGGGAAUGGUGAAAGAGGAAUCACCCUCGAUAACCACGACCGACUAGCUAUACUACAGAGAUAUCAUCAGGAGUACUUAGUGAGGUGUCACCCUCGGUACCCGAUAGUAUCUCUGUAGCGUCGUACAACGAAGGGGGGUGAAUGUGCUGUGUCGGGUCUGGCUCGUCGAUCAGAGAUCGAGAUUUGAAAACAAGCGGGGCAACUGAACUACGGGGUCAGAGGGGAUGACUGCUCCACCUAUACUAAGCAGAUUAAAGGUAAAAGACUGAAAGUAGCAGUUCAUCAAAAAUUAGGCUAUGCAUCAGAUAUUGGAGCUAACUACAACAGUAGCAAAAUACUAAUGCAAGCAGUAGAAAGAAAGACAUAGGCGAUAUAGGAAUGAUCAAGGGGAAUUUGCUUGCCUUGCUGCUCUGCGGCAAAGGACUGAUCGGCAGGGUCGUAGAUGUACCCGGCAGCAGCGUCAAUCUCGGGGUCUACCGGUAAGAAGAGGGGGAAGAAACAAUAAAUAAUAGCACCGAUGCAACACAAAGCAUGACAUGGCAAGAUGCAGGUUAGACAUGAACUAACGCAGCAACAUCCGUCAUAGACGGGUCGGAAGAAUAUCUGACGAUAUUUUCCGGGUCUCGGGCUACUACCGGUUAUACUGGAAACGAUGGGAAAGUUCCAUGUUUGCUAUGCUAGGGACGCGUGACAAACGAACGGGCCGUGUAUCCGGGUUCGUCUCGUUUUGCUGAUCAACUUUCAUGUUGAAAUUAUUUUGAUCUGACUUACGGAUUAUUUUAUAUUAAUUUUCAAAGUUUUAUUAAUUAUUUAGGAAUUAAAAACAGAUUUAAAUGAUUUAAUAAAAUCCCAUUAUGACAUCAUCGCGAUGUCAGGCUGGCAUCAGCAGUUGACUGGUCAACUGACCAGCGGGUCCCGAACGUCAUAGGCACAAGUUUUAAUAUCGAUUAAAUAUGGAUUUAUCAGAUUAAUUUAAUGAGGGACCCACGUGGCAUUCUCUCAUUAUUCUAAUUAAUUAAUUUAACUAAUAUAUCUAUUUAUUUAUUUAAUAAAAACAUUAUUUUUAUUUUUAGUUUAACUAUCGCGUGGGGCCUCCCUGUCAUAGACAGCGGGUGCGUUGCCCCACCGGUAAGUGACCCAAGGCCAUUUACUCAUUUUAUUAAUCACAAAUACAUAACCAUACACAUGUCGUAUUUCUCCACAUGCCUAUAUACGCAAAUACAUACGUAAAUACGGGUAUCAAAUACAUACAUACAUACAUACGGAAUACAACAUUUGUUUUUUCUAUUUUCUCUCAAAACUCUCAUCUCCCUCUGUGUUAAAGAGAGACACAGAACUCACUUUCUGCUAACUCAACAUAGAAGAACCAAGUGUUCAAUCCCUCCUACCGGAGUCUACCGUCGACGGAUCGGGGUCCCGUUUGCCGGAACGGAACCGAGGCGGUGAGGAGAUCGACAUGGUGGGAGGAGCCCGAGGAGGGGCUCACCGACGGUGACGAGACGGCCCGAUGAAGCCGGAGUUCGCACGAAGGUGAAGGUGACGACGGUGACGCGGUUCCGGUGAAGACGGGCGUGCCGGCAAGGAGGAGCCGGCCGGAGGUUCGCCGAGAGGGGCCCCGGUGGGGAGGGGCCCCCGGAGAUGGAGCCGGCUGGAGUGGGUGAGGCCGACAAGAGGGACCUCGAGGAGGUCGGGGCCCCUGCCGGCGGGGUGGAGACCGAGGGGGGGGGCUCGCCGGCGGGAGAAUGGGGCCGUGGGGGGGAACUCGCCGCCGGAGGAGGAGGAGUGGUGGCCGGCGGUUGGAGGAGCAGGGGCUCGCCGGCCGGGAGAGGGGAGGGGCUCGCCGGCCGGAAGGAGGAGGCCGUUGGGAAGUGAGAUGAGGGAUCGGCUCGCCGGCGGNACGGGAGGGGAGCCGAGGUGGGAGGGAUCUGGGGGAGUGGGGGCUCUCGGUGAGGGGAGGGAGCUACGGGACGUGGGGUGUGGGGGUCUCGGUGGGGUGGGGGCUGUCGGUGGGGGGGGGGAAGGGAGACCGAGAGGGGGAGGGAGAGGUGGCGGCGGCAGGAGGGGAGGGAGCGAGAGGGGCUCCCUCGCCYYGGGGGGUCUAGGGUUUGAGGGGUGGGGCGCGGGGGCCUGGCCAGUUGGGCCUUUUGGCCCAGCCAGGCCAGGGGGGUGGGGGGUUUCUUCUUCUUCUUCUUUUUUGUUGUUGUUGUUUUGUUUUGUUUUAUUUUGUUUUCUUUCCUAUUUAUUUUACUAACUGAUUUUUCUUUUUAAAUACUUUCUUUUAUUAUACUUUCUUUUACAAUUUAUUAUACAUACUUUUAAUUCUCUCUUUCAUAUACAUAUUCUUUUAAUACUUGUAAUGAACUGAUAAAGUACUUUCCUUUUGUUUUGAAAUUUUGGAUCCGGACAGACUCGAAUCAACGCGGGUCUGAGAUGGGAAUUCGAUGACGUGGCAUCAUUAGAGGUUGAUCACUGUAGCUUAAUUACAAUAAUUACUGUAGCAAAAGUCGAGGAUGUCACAAUUCUUCCCUACUAACAAGAAUUCUCGUCCCGAGAAUUAAGAGGUAGAGGGAAAGAGCCCGGGGUAUUCAUCACGAAGAUGAUCCUCGCGUUCCCAAGUGGCUUCAGCUCUAGAAUGAUUUGACCACUGCACCUUAAGGAACUUGGUGACUUUGCGACGAGUCUUACGUUCGGCUUGGUCGAGAAUGCGGACCGGAUGCUUCUUAUAAGAGAUGUCUUGUUGCAGCUCAAGCAUACCAUGAUCCACUGCUCGAAUAGGAUCCUUGAAGCAGCAACGGUGCUGAGGAACACGGAAGACAUCGUGAACCUGAGAAAGGUUCGCUGGCAGUUCCAAUUGUUAAGCCACUGUUCCACACCUUUCGAGAACAGUGAAAGGACCAAUAUAAAGAGGAGCUAACUUGCUCUUGAUCUUAAAACAAUGUGCACCUCUCAUUGGUGUGACGUGAAGAUCAACCUUUACGCCAGGUUGAUAUAUCAUAUCUUGAUGAUGACGGUCAUACCGACUUUUCUGACGAGACUGAGCAGCCUUCAGAUUCGCAUGAAUAAUGUGGACUUGAUCUUUAGUAUGUUGAAUAAUAUCCGGACCGAAGAGUGAUCGGUCCAUUGAACGGUGGCUCGAGAAUUUCAUACGAAGCCAAGUGUAAAGGAUACUUUGGAGUCAAAGAUGUACAGGAGAGUCAGGUUUCAAUCCUGUGGAACUUUGGGUUAUGGGUCCACCAUGUGGGCCGAGAGUAGACAGAGGGGUGACAUAUUACAUGGUCUUGGUAACAAGACAUGUCAGAGGAUAACCUGUCAGUUAUGUUGGCAACAUCGUCGAUACCAAGGGCGGGGAACGAAUAGAACCAUUUUCCUGCUCGUUGAAACGAGGCGGGCCAAUAGGCAAGGUUCUGUCCACCGGCGGCUACCGGAAUGUUAUCCACAAUAGUAACACGGUCUUACUGACAGAGUUGUACACCAAGAAUUUUACCUAAGCAGGGAAUUAACACUGCUUAGAUAAGUUAUGCCACAAUAAAAAAUCAAACAGACCAAUGGGAAGGGAAAAUGUGUUCACACACACAAGUAUUAGAGUAUACCAUUCCCGAGGAAAUCAUAGAGUAUGGUAUACAUGAUAGGUCAUCCAGUACAUAACCAUCUUGGUAAAGAGACAAGAAGAAUCAUCAUGUUUAUCCAUACCAUGCGGUUUGGAUAAUUGAUCAGGAACAGUUUAGCAUCGCGCUUCCAAUGUUCCUGUUGAAAUUUAAAUUACCACAUCCGUGCUUUGGGGUAGCAUCGACAUGGUCAUCAGACAAAGGUUGGACUUAGGGGUAUACAAGAGGAACCAGGAGGGACAACUUACAAAGCUAAGUCAUACAAUUUCCUCAUGGUAGAAUGGCGAACCUUACAUAUGGAAGGAUUUAUAACAAUAGGUCCUCCGACCCAGUGUGCCAGACAAGACAUCACUGUACCGGUUUUCCUAAAGACCAAAGUUAUAAUUAUUGGGAAAUGUUCCAACCAUCAUAUCUUCCAGAGAAUUAGAUCUGAUUGGUGCCGGGACACCUCACACUCAAGAUGACUGAGAAGAAAAAUGAAGACGCAAGAUUCUCAUGAUAUGAACUACACAAGCAAUUCUUGAAUCAAGAGUUUGAUAUAAUACAUAUGAACACAAUGUCAAGACAUUCGUGCCCACAUAGAAUUUGUACGUCAAAAUGCAACUGGGUUCUCAUUUGGACACCAUCAUAGAGGAUAACAACGCUCCAUGUGUAAGUCUGGAUUAGCUCCUACGAAAGAACUUCUUUUCCUUGAUCAAAUCAGUCAGUAGCUUGACGUGCUAAGAGAAAUUAUAUGGAGUGAGGAUAGCAAAUCUUCAAAACAUAUAACACUUCGCACAUGCGUGAAUGAUUUGGUAUUUCACGAGAGGAAGCGAAACAAAACUUUCCAUAUUCACGGCGGAAAGAGUGCAUGUGAACUUUUGGGAAAACCUUUAGGCUAAUGCUUUCAAGAGCUUCACCGUGGAACAUGAAGAAGCUGAGGGUGUGUCUGAUGGGCUCAACAACAAUCCCUCAAGGUUUUGACAGGGUUGAAUUUCCAAAAUUAUAAUAACAAGGAGUUAGCAUUUGUCAAAUCAAAUGGUAUAACGUCGUAUGUUCGAGGGAACAACAACAGUUAAACAUUGGUCGAAGGGUGCACUCGGAAAUACGGGUUGAGUAGCACAACCAAUGCUAAAAUGAUGAGUCAACACCCAACACACCAAGAAGGAAACAAUCAGUUGUUAACCUCAAGGGGAUAGGAUUGACAGAAGUAUGGGAAUCACACAUCAGAGUUCAUUUGUCGGUAUACCGGUUAGAAACAACACGGGACCAAGAAAUGAAUGGUGAUGGCAAGAAGUAUUACUAUAUCAAGAAUUCUUAAUACGCGUGCAAUUUUCACGACAUUCUUGACAUACCAGAUAGUAAUACUCCAAGGUAGAAGAUAACAUAAGCUGGACAGUGAGUAACACAAAGGACAACACAAAACAUGAACACGUUUGUCUUGGAGGGAAAGCAACACGGGUGUCGAUGAUAAUACAAUCAUCGAGGGAAAGGGAUGGUAUUUCUCAACAUGCAUUCAAUUGAUACCCUCCAAGAGCUCCGAAUGCUGAUGGUGAUCACGACACAUUUGUCGAGAAAUUUCACGAAGAUGUAAUCGUUUAGCGACGACAUCAAGCAAGGGAAUGAUGAAGCAAGAGGUUGUCGGAAACACAGAUAAGACUGCUCGCUUAGAAUUGAGAUUGCCUUUCAAGACAACCAACAUGAGGUGGAAAGCCCGAUGCAAGCUUAACGCACAGUUGGUAUUGUGUUCCAGGGAUGAAGGGUAUAGAUAGCAAGGACGAGCUCCAACAUGACGAUGAUGAUGUAGCUUAACAACUUGGAAUGACAUGAUCGAGUACAAACUCGUAAACAAGGAAGAUUACUAAAAAUUGUUGAAUCGUAAUGCGUACUCGAUUUAGUUAUCGAUGUACUCACGUGUCCAACAACUCAAACACGAGGAAAACUGGAAUUAAUGAAGAUAUCAUAGUUGAUGAGGAGCUCACAAGAUGUUAUAUUGCUCCGCGAUAUCCUCGAGCUACAAGGAAUAAUACUCGGAGGUAGAUCAACUUUAAGGUUUGGACCGAUGUAUCGAUCUGAAGAAGACAAGUACUUUAACUCGUCUGAGAAUUGAAAUUAAGGUAGGACAACAUGGUCGGAACCACGAUUACAAAGGGACAAGAUCACCGAUACCAGAUUAAACCACAUAAUGAAUUGAUUAUUUAUACGAGAAGUUUCUAUGAUAGGAUCAACGUCGUUUCCAUGGGCAUGAACACAAAGUUCAAGGUCGACUCCCACUUCAUCAAUGCAUCACCUGCCAUUUAUUCCUCGCCUUGGAUCAAGUUGUAGCUUGAAAGAACAUUUGGCAAAACACCAGAAGAGCAAGACUUGUGAAAACUCUUCAGGUCAUAUUGAUUAAGGAAGGCACAUGUUCAACCCAUCGGGGCAUCUUAGGAACAUAUACCACAAACUUCAAGAGUAAUUAACACAUGCUUGAAGGGCAUGGCUGACAAAUCGUAUGGUACAACUUAUCAAAGGGAGAAGACACAAUUUACCAAUGACAUUACGUAUCAGUGGAACACUAUCACAAGAAUUUUUGAAUGCAAAUGAUGCCGUCGCUUAGUAACCCAGCAAUGGUCGUGGUAAUCCACAAAGGACCUGAUGUGAGUAUCGGUACUCAAUCAGAGGGGGUAAAACGCAAGGCAUCGAAUUAUAAAACAUCUGAAAAAGGCUGAUAUUUAAUUACCAAAGGAAUUAGGAUUUCCAGGUUGGUGUAUCAUAAUCAGAUACUCCAAUCAAAUACAAGUAGGUUGAAUGGACUUAGAUGGACAACCCACCAAAAUUUGAUUUGUCGAGAACCAACUCGGUCUGGGAGGACGUCUGAGCCGGUAGAUAAUUUAUGAGCCACAACAGAUGAUCGUGUGCAUUCACAAAAAGGUAGAAUCAAUAAAAUCACAGGAAAAUCACAAAGGAUUUUAAUGAAUGGUGCUAGACAUAUGGAUUUAACCAUAAUGCAAGCAGGUGAGAAAGGUCAUGAACAUGUGGCUACGGAGGAGGAUUUCGGAAGACCGAAUAGUAAUUCAGAGAGCUAUCGGAACCCAUGACAACUGAUGACGGACAAAUCCCUGAUAAGGUAAUUCGUUGCAUCUCGUAAUAACAAGAACAAUUGGAGAAUAAAGUAUGAACGACAUAUGUAUGUAGUCAUCCAUAGUGAUAGUCGGAGGAAAGGAAAUCGCAAGAGCGAUAGGCACUAGUUCUCGAGAUAACAUCAGAGAGUAACUUCGGAGUCUUCUGAUAGAUCAAGCCAUCGUCUGAAAUACGAGACUCCUUGGGAGAAAAUAUUUACGCGAACCUAAUGUUAGAGUUAGUAAAAUCUUUAAACCCGAAAGAGAAGAGAGAGUAGAGCCCAGAGUAUAGGAAAGGAGUAAAAGAUACUAAUACCACCCAAUUGAGAUGUGGGCCCGUAAGCCACAACAUCAGUGUUAGUAAAGUUUUUCAAACACUAGACUCAACUUCGGCCAAGGAGUUGGAAAGGGGGCUACCUACAGGCAGUUGGCUCUGAUACCAACUUGUGACGCCCUCGGCUUAAUCGUACGCUAAUCAUACACGCAAAUGCGUACGACCAAACCCAAGGACUCACGGGAAGAUAUCACAACACAACUCUAGACACAAAUGAAAAUAACAUCAGCUUCAUAUUACAAGCCAGGGGUCUCGAGGGCUAGAAUACGAAAGCUCGAUAAACACACGAGUCAGCGGAAGCAACAAAUAUCUGAGUACAGACAUAAAACAUGGGGUGCCUUAGAGAAGGCUAGCACAAAAGAUACAACGAUCGAACGAGGCGAGGCCUCCUGCCUGGGAACCUCCUAACUACUCCUGAUCAUCAGCGGCCUCCACGAAGAAGACACCAUCGGGCCAGCAGGCGCCGGCAGGAAACUCCACUCCUGGGCUCCAUCAUCUGGUCGCAGCAACGGAUCAAGGGGACAAAGGGGGAGCAAAGCAGCGGUGAGUACUCAUCCAAAGUACUCGCAAGUCUUACAUCAGAACUAUUCUAAAUAUGCAUCAGUAUCAAAGAAGGGGGGUGUUAUAUGUGGACUGACUGCAGCAAGGCGAGAAUAAAGAGAGAAGGCCUAGUCCUAUCGAAGACUAGCAUCUUCAGGGUCUUGCAGCAAUAGACGAGAAUAGAACAGGGGUAAAACAUUAAUAGUCAUAUUGUUGCAGCAAUAUUAAAGUGAGGUCGCGCCUAAAGAUCCUCCCUCGACUCCCUGCGAGGAAGCAAUCCCGAGGCAAACUAAUUCCAGUUAAGUAACAAUUGUAGUUGUAAAAGAUCGGGGCAAAACUCCAAGUCGUCCUGUAACCGUGGACACGGCUAUCCGAAUAGUUAAUUUUCAUCCCUGCAGGGGUGCACCACAUGUCCCGUCACGCUCGAUAACACUCUGGCCGGACAUACUUUUCUGGGUCCUGCCCGGCCUCGGAAUAUCGACGUCGCAGCCCCACCUAAGACUAAUCAGAGAGGCCAGCCCGCCGGUCUAAAUCCUAAGCACAAAGGGUUCGUGGGCUCAGUUCCCCUUCACGCUCCUGCACAUGGCGUGGGCGGCCGACGUCAGUCCUAGCAUCCCUUAAUCACAAGCGCGAUGCAUCUCGGGACCACUCGGGCGCGCGCCGCUACAUUGCUGGCAUCUGAAAAGCUUCGGCUGAUACCGCGACGUCGAGUACCCAUAAUUCUUCCCGCGUAGCCGGUUAGUGCGAAAAGGUCUCCGACCAACCCAGAUCAAAUACCCAAAUCCAUUAACAUUUUAAUUAGGCCAGCAACACAGUCUCACGAGAAUCCACCCGUCUUACAGCUAAUCACCAAUGAUCCCAGUAACAUGGUCGACUAACUGUGUGGUUGUAACAUCGGGGGGAAUCCGAGGUAUCACCCUCGUUGGAUUCCGAACGAUGUACCCGCCAAGGUGGGCUUAGAGGAAUCACCCUCGAGGUUCCCACACUUGAGGGGUUGCACGACAGAUGCAUCGUCGGGAAUGGUGAAAGAGGAAUCACCCUCGAUAACCACGACCGACUAGCUAUACUACAGAGAUAUCAUCAGGAGUACUUAGUGAGGUGUCACCCUCGGUACCCGAUAGUAUCUCUGUAGCGUCGUACAACGAAGGGGGGUGAAUGUGCUGUGUCGGGUCUGGCUCGUCGAUCAGAGAUCGAGAUUUGAAAACAAGCGGGGCAACUGAACUACGGGGUCAGAGGGGAUGACUGCUCCACCUAUACUAAGCGGAUUAAAGGUACAGGACUGAAAGUAGCAGUUCAUCAAAAAUUAGGCUAUGCAUCAGAUAUAGGAGCUAACUAUAACAGUAGCAAAAUACUAAUGCAAGCAGUAGAAAGAAAGACAUAGGCGAUAUAGGAAUGAUCAAGGGGAAUUUGCUUGCCUUGCUGCUCUACGGCAAAGGACUGAUCGGCAGGGUCGUAGAUGUACCCGGCAGCAGCGUCAGUAUCGGGGUCUACCGGUAAGAAGAGGGGGAAGAAACAAUAAAUAAUAGCACCGAUGCAACACAAAGCAUGACAUGGCAAGAUGCAGGUUAGACAUGAACUAACGCAGCAACAUCCGUCAUAGACGGGUCGGAAGAAUAUCUGACGAUAUUUUCCGGGUCUCGGGCUACUACCGGUUAUACUGGAAACGAUGGAAAAGUUCCAUGUUUGCUAUGCUAGGGACGCGUGACAGACGAACGGGCCGUGUAUCCGGGUUCGUCUCGUUUUGCUGAUCAACUUUCAUGUUGAAAUUACUUUGAUCUGACUUACGGAUUAUUUUAUAUUAAUUUUCAAAGUUUUAUUAAUUAUUUAGGAAUUAAAAACAGAUUUAAAUGAUUUAAUAAAAUCCCAUUAUGACAUCAUCGCGAUGUCAGGCUGGCAUCAGCAGUUGACUGGUCAACUCACCAGCGGGUCCCGAACAUCAUAGGCACAAGUUUUAAUAUCGAUUAAAUAUGGAUUUAUCAGAUUAAUUUAAUGAGGGACCCACAUGGCAUUCUCUCAUUAUUCUAAUUAAUUAAUUUAACUAAUAUAUCUAUUUAUUUAUUUAAUAAAAACAUUAUUUUUAUUUUUAGUUUAACUAUCGCGUGGGGCCUCCCUGUCAUAGACAGCGGGUGCGUUGCCCCACCGGUAAGUGACCAAGGCCAUUUACUCAUUUUAUUAAUCACAAAUACAUAACCAUACACAUGUCGUAGACAAAGAACUCACUUUCUGCUAACUCAACAUAGAAGAACCAAGUGUUCAAUCCCUCCUAUCGGAGUCUACCGUCGACGGAUCGGGGUCCCGUUUGCCGGAACGGAACCGGGGCGGUGAGGAGAUCGACAUGGUGGGAGGAGCCCGAGGAGGGGCUCACCGACGGUGACGAGACGGCCCGAUGAAGCCGGAGUUCGCACGAAGGUGAAGGUGACGACGGUGACGCGGUUCCGGUGAAGACGGGCGUGCCGGCGAGGAGGAGCCGGCCGGAGGUUCGCCGAGAGGUGCCCUAGUGAGGAGGGGCCCCCGGAGAUGGAGUCGGCCGGAGUGGGUGAGGCCGGCAAGAGGGACCUCGAGGAGGCCGGGGACCCUGUCGGCGGGGUGGAGGCCGAGGGGGGAGCUCGCCGGCGGGAGAAUGGGGCCGUGGGGGGAACUCGCCGCCGGAGGAGGAGGAGUGGUGGCCGGCGGUUGGAGGAGCAGGGGCUCGCCGGCCGGGAGAGGGGAGGGGCUCGCCGGCCGGAGGGAGGAGGCCGUGGGGAAGUGAGAUGAGGGAUCGGCUCGCCGGNACCGAGAGGGGGAGGGAGAGGUGGCGGCGGCAGGAGGGGAGGGAGCGAGAGGGGCUCCCUCGCCAGGGGGGUCUAGGGUUUGAGGGGUGGGGCGCGGGGGCCUGGCCAGUUGGGCCUUUUGGCCCAGCCAGGCCAGGGGGAUGGGGGGGUUUCUUCUUCUUCUUCUUCUUUUGUUGUUGUUGUUUUGUUUUGUUUUAUUUUGUUUUCAUUCCUAUUUAUUUUACUAACUAAUUUUUCUUUUUAAAUACUUUCUUUUAUUAUACUUUCUUUUACAAUUUAUUAUACAUACUUUUAAUUCUCUCUUUCAUAUACAUAUUCUUUUGAUACUUGUAAUGAACUGAUAAAGUACUUUCCUUUUGUUUUCAAAUUUUGGAUCCGGACAGACUCGAAUCAACGCGGGUCUGAGAUGGGAAUUCGAUGACGUGGCAUCAUUAGCGGUUGAUCACUGUAGCUUAAUUACAAUAAUUACUGUAGCAAAAGUCGAGGAUGUCACACAUGGCAUGAUCAUUGGGCAAAGGUUUGGGGUCAAGGAGAUGAGUCUAGAGAGUAGCAGCAAGUUUGUGAUUCAUAACACAAGCAAUCAGCAAUCAAUUCAAGCAUCAUAUCACAGAGAAAAAGUUUUAAUUGGUCCUAAGUUUUUUGCUAUGUUGACUUAGUCAGGAGAGGCAAAAGACAGGGUGUGAAAGACCUACCCCCUUACAAGAAUCUUGUCCCCGGGAUUCCUAUGCUAGACGUUGGAAAGGUACCGAGUUUCAGGUUGAGGUACUCUUCGCGUUCCCGUGUUGCUUCUUCUUUGAUGUGAUUGCUUCCUGUAUGUCUUGAAAUGCUUCGUGAUACAACUUUGAAUACUUCUCUUAGCUUCAUCUAAGAGUGAACGGGGUUCUUCCAAUGUGUUGGGCCCGACUAGAGGUCAAGGGCUUGGUGAACUAAGUUCUCGCAAGGGUCUGGCUUGCAUGUGUAUUCCUGAGUCGGAAUACGUGACAAGGUAGUGUAUUUGUAGGCUGGUCCUGGGGUUGCACACGUUGGUUAGUGACAUCUAGAUGUAUCGUGUUAGAAUAGAAGGGUCAAGGUUUUGGUGUAGCUUCCCAUCAACGGGGAAAUGCCUGACUUCCUUAAGGCAGGUGAUCUACCGUCGCAGGUGGUCUUCUUUCUUGGGAAUGUUGAAGCUUGCCAAUGUAGGCUUAUUGUUGAGAUCUUUUGCUUAAGUAGGUAGCCCAGGUAUGUUCUUCAUCGGUCUUCAUCCACUUGUCUUUGUCGUCAUGGACGCACGUUUCCGGCAUGUCUUCGGGUGCUUGGCCUUAUAGCUGUUUUGUAACUACUUGUGAAAAACUUGGGGUUGGGUUUGAUCCAUAAGACUAAGCUUAGAGGCACACUGUUUAAAAACGGGUUCUACCAUCUAGGAAGGUUCUUGAGGAGUCCUAGAUGAGUUGGCUACUGAUGACCCACAAGUAUAUGGUAUCUAUCGUAGUCCUUUCGAUAAGUAAGAGUGUCGAACCCAACGAGGAGCAGAAGGAUCUGACAAGUGGUUUUCAGCAAGGUGAUAUCUGCAAGCACUGCAAUUAUCGGUAACAAGUAGUUAUGUGGUGAGAUGAUUCGUAGCAAGUAGCAAGUAACAAAAGUAACCACGGUGCAGUAAAGUGGCCCAAUCCCUUUUGUAGCAAGGGACAAGCCUGGACAAACUCUUAUAGGAGGUAAAACGCUCCCGAGGACACAUGGAAAUUUCUGUCAAGCUAGUUUUCAUCAUGUUCAUAUGAUUCGCGUUCGUUACUUUGAUAGUUUGAUAUGUGGGUGGAGGUACUGCCCUUACUUGGACAAGCAUCUCACUUAUGAUUAACCCCUCUCGCAAGCAUCCGCAACUACGAAAGAAGAAUUAAGACAAAGUUUAACCAUAGCAUUAAACUAGUGGAUCCGAAUCGGCCCCUUACGAAGCAACGCAUAAACUAGGGUUUAAGCUUCUGUCACUCUAGCAACCCAUCAUCUACUUACUACUUCCCAAUGCCUUCCUCUAGGCCCAAAUAAUGGUGAAGUGUUAUGUAGUCCACGUUCACAUAAAACCACUAGAGGAAAAACAACAUACAACACAUCAAAAUAUCGAACGAAUAUCAAAUUCACAUGACUACUUAUAGCAUGACUUAUCCCAUGUCCUCAGGAACAAAAGUAACUACUCACAAACCAUAAUCAUAUUCAUGACCAGAGAGGUAAUGAAUAGCAUCAAAGAUCUGAACAUAUAAUCUUCCACCAAGUAAUCCAACUAGCAUCAACUACAAAGAGUAAUUAACACUACUAGCAACCUUACAAGUACCAAUCGGAGUCGCGAGACGGAGAUUGGUUACAAGAGAUGAACUAGGGUUUGGAGAUGAGAUGGUGCUGAUGAAGAUGUUGAUGGUGAUGAGUCCCCUCCGAUGAGAGGAGUAUUGGUGAUGACGAUGACGACGAUUUCCCCCUCCGGGAGGUAAGUUUCCCCGGCAGGAUCGUCCUGCCGGAGCUCUAGAUUGGUUCUGCUCAAGUUCCGUCUCGUGGCGGCGGCGAAUCCUCCGAAAAGCCUCUUCUUGAUUUUUUUUCUGAAACGAAACUCUUCUUGUAGCAAAAGAGGGGAGCCAGAGGGCCAAGUGGGAGCCUACAAACCCUUCUUGAAAAAUUUAUGUUUCACAAAAAAAUGGAAACAUUCUAUUUCAAUGAAAGACACUUAUGUAUAGUUGGCCUGCAAAGAUUCAAGGUCAAAUCUUCUCUUGUUUGAAACAACAAAGAAUAGAAAUUUCUAUACAAGGAUAGCACGGAUCUUGACUCAAACUGAAAGUGGUUAGAUAGAGGCUACAGAGGUAUUGUAGCCUGGAGUUUCUAGGUUUGAGAUCUUGCGCAUUGACUUGGUCAGCAGGACUAGUGCAUAACACAAGUCCAAAAUACAGCAACAAGCGAUUUUAUUCCUGCUGUAAGUAAUAUGCACACGCCUUCUCAUGUAUGCAUUCAUGUGUUGUACCUUCUCAUAUGAGCCCUCUGUUUCUAAAUAUUUGUUGGAAGAACUAGAUUAGUUCUCGCCAACAGCAAAUAAUGAUACGCAAUCAUUGUAUAUUUGUAAAAGAAAAAUCCUGCUGUAAGGAUCACACAUGACGUGCAUGCAUGCAUGCAUUUUUCAUAUGAAGUGGAGAGCAAAAGAAACAAGGCAUGACUAGCACCAAAGAAGUUGCACGCAAAGUGGAGUAAUAUACCCAUGACUACAUACAUGGUCAUCGGAUGAUCUUGGCAAGCACGUUGGCUCGUCUAUAUAUAGUACAUCACAACGUGUGGGAGCUAUAGCUUUAAGUGGAAGGCAAAGCCUUAUACUUAAUGGAUUAUUUAGCUAAAUAUACUAUCUAUGAGAUAUAGGAGUGAAACAAACAGUCCAGAAGCUUUCCUAUACCGGCACGUCCCGGCAGCAUGUCCAUCAACUUCUCCAACUCUCCCAUGUCUAGCCUCACCGUCAGCGAGCCUCACCGUCACCACGAGCAAACAAACAGCAGCAGUAGUUCUCCUCGGAAACCGGUCUUACUACUGUGAAAUUUCUGUUCAAUGGAUAUUAGACUGAUUGUAGGCGAUGUGAUUUAAUAGCGCAAUAAGAAAAGUUCAGAAGAGUAAGUAUAUCAUAUAGUCAUAGAUUCAGUCACUAUUUAUUUUGGAGGUGGCAAUGCAAGUUAGUCCUAAAACUAUAUAUAAGUUGUUCAUCGAGAGCCCUAACUUGCCCAUAGACCAGUGUUCACCUGCUUAUGUGGCGCUUAACUGUUGUCAUGUAGACAUACUCUAUGCAAAAUGGCCCUUACAAAAAUAUAAUGGAAAAUCCACUCUCAAAAAUGUCGUACAACCACAUUGAAGAAGUGAGAUGUUUUUGGUUGAGCAUCUCAGACAAGUAGUCCAGUAUUCCUAGGUGGUGCACAAGUUGCCGAGCAGCUUAUGUUACGGAAUCAGCCAGGUACCGUCAGGCUCACCUGAACUGGAUGAAGUGGUGCACAAGUUGCCGGCAGCCUGACGGAAUCAGCCAGGCACCGGAAGUCACCGGGCAUGGAGACAUCGAUGUGAGCUCUAAUCUUGAUCGUGGCCAGUUGGUGAUGGCCGAGUCGUCCGCAUAGAGUAACAAGCAGCAACGUCAGCCGAGCAGUUGGGCAGCCGUGGUGUGCGGUCGUGCGCUGCCAAGGUCGUGGGCUGUUGAUGUGCAUGUAAGUUUGUUAGUGCUACUUGUGUGGGUUGUUAGCUACAUGAACGGCCAGGUCGUGUGUGCGUGGUGAGACCUCAUUUUCAAGGUUACAUGCUGAUUAGGAUUCUUUCUUUCUAACUAACCACCCUCCUGAUUUUCAAGGGGGUGGGACCCUCAUCCCCUUAAUCUUCAAUCAAAAUCCACCUGUUUGUAAAAUCUAUGUGAAGUUAUGUAUGUGUAGAAUUGCUCGGGCAAGAGGCUAGUUAGGAAAAAAAAAUCUAGUCAACUUGUAACCUUUCGUAAGUCUUUGUAUGUUUAACAUUACUGGGUAAGAUGGUCGUCUACAUUUCAGAUCUUGCAGCGUCGAACGAGUCCGCCCCGAACAGGUCGUCGACGUAGGCCACCAGCCGUGUCGUCUCCGUGAGCCCCGACGAAAGCCCGGUCAGCACCGGCACCAAGCGGGCGCAUCCCUCGGACAUGAGCGUCUCGAUGGUGGCGCUCGGGGGCAGGUCAGAGAGGUCGAUGGGAACUGCGCCAACUGUGUCGUGGACGUGAAGGUGAUGAGCGCGGCCACUGCCAGGCACUUGGCAAGCUCGGUGGCCCAUCCCGGGCGUCAACAGCAUUGUCACGUGUGGUGGCCGGCGAGCCUCAGCCGUGCCGUUCGCCUACGUGGUUCACCGUCCGCCCCUGCGUUUCUCCAUGGGAUUUUUUUUUUGAAUAAAAGGGGUUUCCCCCUGCUCUAUUCUAUUGAAGCAGCGAACCGAACAAGUUUACAGCCAUGAUAACCACCAGAACAGCUCAAACGCAAACUACCAGGAGACUAAACUCUAAGAAAGCAGAAAAAAGUUCAGAUACAAUCACUAGUAGGACAUAUUACAGACGAGACUUUAUUAGAGCUUCAGUUCCUUAGGCCGACGACCGAGCGAUAUGCAACAGUUCUUUCCUGAACUUGUCCAGCUUAAUUAGUCAUGAGCUGAAGAACCCCGUCCUGUGUGGCGUCGCAACGCACAGCCCACUGCUGAAGAAAGGCUCUAAGCUUGCAUGCNNNNNNNNNNNNNNNNNNNNNNNNNNNNNNNNNNNNNNNNNNNNNNNNNNNNNNNNNNNNNNNNNNNNNNNNNNNNNNNNNNNNNNNNNNNNNNNNNNNNGCAUCAACUCUUCCCUUAUCAAUUUGAAUGUCCAACAGAAUCCAAUGGAAGCUGCACAUGUAUAUAUAUAUAUAUAUGUCAGUAACUUAUCAAUUACACUUAUAAGUGAAUGGACGCAACAGAGUAAAGACCCUCACCUGAAGUUGUAUGGAAACAGUAUGUGGUCACAGAAAUUUUGAUCUAUUAGAAACCUUAGAAGGUUUUCCUCCGUCUCCUUGGGUUUAUUAGUUAGCGUCGCUAUAUGUAUUUUAUCUGGGUCAAUAAACCCAAUAUUUAGGAUGCUCUUACUUUUACAAUCCAGAAUCUUCAUUCUGCAUAAUAGAGUACAAGUUAUAUAUAGACAAUUAAUUGAAAUAACUAAACAAGUUAUAUGUAGACAACGAAUUGAAAAACUUACAGACAAUAGCAACUCAUAAGCGAUUUGUCGAGGGCGUCGCCAUUGUACAUGUGGAAGAGUUCAUCAAAGUCGAUAUGGAUUUCUUCGGAGCGGCCGUAGUACUCCCGUGGGACACUCAGCACGAUCAUCGUUCUCCCAUUCUUUGAUUCACUUAAGUACCAUUUAUGCAAGUAACGCAUAUUUGUUGGGAGAUCAUCUUUGGUGACCAAAGGCUCUUCCAUGACAAACUGUGGCUUAGGGGCUACCACAGCCUUGGGUAUCCUGUCGUCUUGGGAAGCCAGCAAAUCUUUAACUGAGAUACCACAUUCAGCCGCCAAAUCCUUUGCUCUUUCAAAAGCUUGCCCCUGCACCAGAGGGGGAACAUUCUCGGUUAACACCUUGAGGGGUGGGAUCGACUGUUUGGCCUGUUGUCCAAGAUGAGGAACGUCUGAUUUUUUCUUGCUUGUAGUUGAACUUGAUUUGCUCCCACUUGCACUUGCACGUGAGCUGCUCUUUUUCAUUUGCUUCUGCAAUGUGCGUGUAUAGUCAUCAGGCUUAUAGUGUAAGUCAUACUGUGAUGGAAGGGUUAUGAAGUCUUUUGCCCAUGCUAUUUGCUUCUCGGUGUAUUCCGGGAGGCGCUCGGGUUCCUUCUUUUUCAUCUGCUCAUCAUGCUGUUCCUUUGCUAUCCUGGCGUUUUCCUCGGGGGUACGAUCAUAAGGUCUGAUAGGAAGAUUAGCAUGAGGUACCUUUGGGAGGGGCGACAGUUUGCGCUUUGGGGAGCUCCGUCGCUUAGAAAUCAUCGACGGAGCAUUCUUGCUGGCAUGCUUCCGCUUAGUAUCCUGUGCGGGUGGCGGUGGAGACGGACGACCUAAGUCCGGCGGCGGUGAUCGAGAUGGACUCGUGUUGUGCUGGCCGACGUCAUGUGGAGGGCUUGGAGGUAAUGGAGGUGUAGGUGACCUGCGACGACUCGGAGGCGGUGUUGUCCUUGGGGCCGAGCGUGGAAGCUUGACGUAGUUCUUGUCCCAUAGGAUGACUCCACCCAGUACUUCUCCGAGUGUCCUCUCAUCUUCGGGUCCAGCUAUGUCGAGCUCCAUAUCAUUAAACCCCGUCAUGAUUUCAUCCACCCCGACUUUAGCAAAGCCAGCUGGAAUCUCACGGCCAUGCCAGCGUGCAUCAGGGCCAGAAGGUAAAGCUUGUCUGACGGCCACCUUCAUGGAUAUGUUCUUGAAUUUCUGAUGGAGUUCACAUGAUGUUGACUCCUUGAUUCCAUCCACGGGGUAGCCGGGACCGCCCUCUAUCAUUAUUCGUGCAUCAUCGGGCGGGGUCUCAGAUUCACCAACCCUGCUUUUCCGCUUAGAUGGGGCGCCGGUAAUAUCAAGUGCAGGAUCUUCCUGGCGCGGUACUCCUCUAAGCUCAUCAAUCUGCUUCUGUUGCUCGUUAAUCCUGGCAAGCAACUGGUUGAACUUGUCAUUCUUCUCAUCCUGCUGCCGCUCCUUUGCUCUCUCUCGGCUUCUGUAAGUGUCUUGGUCUCUGGCAACCCAAGCCACCACGGGUAAGAAGGAACGAAGCCUCGCGUUCGUCCUCCGUGUUCGUCAUUGCCGAGGACCAGUGUGAGGAAAUCUUUAUCUCUAUCUGCAGUGAACUUUCUUUUUCCCUCCUUAAUUUCUUUCACUAUCCUUUUCCAAUUCUCCAUGGGUAUCCUAAGACCGUCACUGCAGAUGAGGUCCCCUGUUUCUUCGUCGUACGAACCACCAUGCGCAAGGAACCAAUUUCUUGCUCUCAAUUCCCAUUCAUCACGGAGUGGUUCAGGUACGAUGCCUUUAUCUAGCAGAUCUUGCUCUUUCUUAUCCCACUUUGGGAUGGCAGUCUCAUAGCCCCCUGGCCCCAGCUUGUGGUGAUAUUUCUUCUUGUCGGCAUUUAUCUUGUUCUUUUCUGAUAAUGCCUGGGCAUCUUCUGACUCCUUGUACUCUUGAAAUGCCUUCAAGUGAUUCGCCUGCUUGGCUAGAUACCCCUCGAAUACUGGCACUUUCUUUGUCUUCAGAUAGUUUUUCCAUAGCUUCUUCUUCCAGCUACAGAACAGUUCGGCCAUCUUCUUCAGAGUCCAUUACUUGACUUUGGCCCUCAGUUUGUCUGCGGCGUAUUCAUUCUCACAUUCUGGCAGGUUGAAAUGUGACAUGAGAUCAUUCCAAAGAUUAUCUUUGUACCUUUCGGCGACAUAGUCACUAUCGGCUGCCCCUUUGCGCUUGUUCCACUCCCGAACGCUGAUCGGGACGUGAUCCCUAACGAGAACUCCGCAUUGCUUCUUGAAUGUGUCAGCAACAUUCUUGGGAAGCUUGGGUUCGCCCGUAGGAAAUAUCACCUCAAAUGUGUAAUGCGUCCGUGCAUCCAACUUUCUAGUCGGGCCUCGUUUCGUAGUUUUGCUCGAUGUGGAGGCCUAAGAGGGAGAAACAUUCGUCAAAUGAAUGUAUAUGUAUACAAUAUAGAGCUAUCUCCAAUAUUUUUCACAUAUUACAAGUGAUUGUCGAACUUCAUAUGUAUACCCCGCCGGACUUCUCCUCUUCACCGGGUUCUCCAUCAGUGGAGCUAUCACCUUCUCCGUCAUUGGACCUAUCUCCUGCCCCAUCGGCUUCAUCUUCGUGUCGCUCGACCUCCAUUCCAACGUCCUAGUUUAGAUAUGACGACGGAGAUUCAGCUGGUUCAACGUCGGGGCCGUCUUUGAUUAUAUCUUCGAGAAGUUCUUCCUCUUCGAGGUUCCUGAUAUGUGAAUCCAUAGUUCUGCAAAAAACGGAUUCUCUUAACCUUUGUACCAAAAAAGAAUUAUUCUAUCAGGAACUCCGUUCCAAAACAACUUAAGUCCCACGUCGUGGCUCCACCCGGGACUCCUAGAUUUCUGCAUAGUAUUCAAAGUAGGAGUACUUUUCUAAUUUUAGCAUUCAAUAAGCAAAACCAAAUCGUAAAAUAAAGUAGUAUUCAAAUUAGCAUGCAUUCAAUUAUAAGCUAAUACAUCAUCACUUUUGUCCGUACAUCGUCGAAUAUUAUCACUAAUACUCCUCGAAUACUAUCAUACAUAUAGCAUCACUCAUACAUCUAGAACCGUAGCGCCCCACAGGUAUCGGCGCGGGCGGUGGACACCCAAAGAGAAGGAACCAUCACAGAAUCAUAGCUCUAGUGAGAUCCCCGAAGAACCUACCAGGUAUGCUCGAACCUGCCCUCCAACGCAACCAUGUAGCGACGGACGUGUUCAUCCUCCUCGCUGACACGGUGACGUACCACCUCCGCGGUGUCCGGAAGCAUCGGCACCCUCACUGGCCCACGCGACCGCCACCAAACAAGGAUCGGGUCAACGACGGGCUGGCUCCUCACCAACCUACGCACCCCGGAAGGUAGCACCUUCCAAUACCAGCCGGGCGGAGCCCAGUCCCGGACAAGGCCCCUCUGAUCAAGCAGGUGUCCUCCGCCGAGUCGACGACGAGGAUGCGGGAUAGGCAUCGUAAAAUGAACUAAAAAAAUAACCUAGUUCUAUUAAUUUUCUUGCUAAAAAUAAACUAUUAACACUUAAGCAUAUACAAUAGCAAAAUUAAACUAUUAACACUUAAGCAUAUACAAUAGCAAAAUUAAGCAAUAAUCUAAGAAACACUAUUAACACUUAAGCAUAUACACUAUACAAUAGCAAAAUUAAGCAUAUACACUAUACAAUAGCAAAAUUAAAUGACACUACAUAUUUUUGUUCAUAUACGCUAUCUUAUUUUCUUAUUUUUGUUCAUAUUUCUUCUUGUUGUAACGCUAACCUAAUUCUAAAUAUUACUAACCCUAAUAAUCUAACACAAACCUAAUAACAAUAGGAAUUAAAUGACAAAAAAAAUCUUUUUCUUUUUCUUCUUUUCUUCUCCUUUUUUUUCUUUUCUUCUCCUUUUUCUUCCUUUCUUCUCCUUUUUCUUCUUUUCUUCUCCUUUUUCUUCCUUUCUUCUACUGGCCGGAGUGUUGGGGAGGAUGGGGCGGGGGGCUUACCGGCCAGAGGUGUCGACGGCGCGCGGCGAGGAGGAUGGCGCGGUGCGCGGCGAGGAGGAUGGCGCGGCGCGCGGCGAGGAGGAUGGCGCGGCGAGGAGGACGGCGGGCGGCGGCGAGCAGGACGUCGGGCAGCCUGACGGCGUCGUCGAGUUCGUCGCUGUGCCGCGUCGGGCAGGAGAACGAGAGGAAGAAGAAGAGAAAUGGAUGAUUUGGGUUGAAAUUUUUCGAAGUCCCGCUUAUAUAGGUGGAUCUUUAGUCCCGGUGCGUGCCUCCAACCGGGACUAAAGGGGGUGUUUAGUCCCGGGGUGUGGCUCCAACCGGGACUAAAGCCCCUCCUCGGCUGUACGAUAAGUUUAGUCCCACCUCGCCCAGCGAGGGGGACUAACACUUGUUUAUAAGCCCCGUCGCAGCUUCUCCAUCGAGCUCCUCUCUAAAGCAGGCUUACGGGCCUAAACUCACUGGAAAUUGUAACUAUAUUGGAAAUUAUAGGGAAAAUUCAAUCUAAAUUCAAAUGAGAAUUUAGAUUGAAUUUUCUCUAUGAUUUCGAAUAUAGUUUCAAUUUUUUCUAUUUUCGUAUACAAAACGGACAAUCUCUCUCGAAGUAGCAGCGUUUCGAACGAGAACUUAUCUCUUACAAAUGGAUUUCAUUUUUUUGAANNNNNNNNNNNNNNNNNNNNNNNNNNNNNNNNNNNNNNNNNNNNNNNNNNNNNNNNNNNNNNNNNNNNNNNNNNNNNNNNNNNNNNNNNNNNNNNNNNNNUGGCGUGGGCGGCCGACGUCAGUCCUAGCAUCCCUUAAUCACAAGCGCGAUGCAUCUCGGGACCACUCGGGCGCGCGCCGCUACAUUGCUGGCAUCUGAAAAGCUUCGGCUGAUACCGCGACGUCGAGUACCCAUAAUUCUUCCCGCGUAGCCGGUUAGUGCGAAAAGGUCUCCGACCAACCCAGAUCAAAUACCCAAAUCCAUUAACAUUUUAAUUAGGCCAGCAACACAGUCUCACGNNNNNNNNNNNNNNNNNNNNNNNNNNNNNNNNNNNNNNNNNNNNNNNNNNNNNNNNNNNNNNNNNNNNNNNNNNNNNNNNNNNNNNNNNNNNNNNNNNNNNNNNNNNNNNNNNNNNNNNNNNNNNNNNNNNNNNNNNNNNNNNNNNNNNNNNNNNNNNNNNNNNNNNNNNNNNNNNNNNNNNNNNNNNNNNNNNNNNNNNNNNNNNNNNNNNNNNNNNNNNNNNNNNNNNNNNNNNNNNNNNNNNNNNNNNNNNNNNNNNNNNNNNNNNNNNNNNNNNNNNNNNNNNNNNNNNNNNNNNNNNNNNNNNNNNNNNNNNNNNNNNNNNNNNNNNNNNNNNNNNNNNNNNNNNNNNNNNNNNNNNNNNNNNNNNNNNNNNNNNNNNNNNNNGCAUCGUCGGGAAUGGUGAAAGAGGAAUCACCCUCGAUAACCACGACCGACUAGCUAUACUACAGAGAUAUCAUCAGGAGUACUUAGUGAGGUGUCACCCUCGGUACCCGAUAGUAUCUCUGUAGCGUCGUACAACGAAGGGGGGUGAAUGUGCUGUGUCGGGUCUGGCUCGUCGAUCAGAGAUCGAGAUUUGAAAACAAGCGGGGCAACUGAACUACGGGGUCAGAGGGGAUGACUGCUCCACCUAUACUAAGCNNNNNNNNNNNNNNNNNNNNNNNNNNNNNNNNNNNNNNNNNNNNNNNNNNNNNNNNNNNNNNNNNNNNNNNNNNNNNNNNNNNNNNNNNNNNNNNNNNNNNNNNNNNNNNNNNNNNNNNNNNNNNNNNNNNNNNNNNNNNNNNNNNNNNNNNNNNNNNNNNNNNNNNNNNNNNNNNNNNNNNNNNNNNNNNNNNNNNNNNNNNNNNNNNNNNNNNNNNNNNNNNNNNNNNNNNNNNNNNNNNNNNNNNNNNNNNNNNNNNNNNNNNNNNNNNNNNNNNNNNNNNNNNNNNNNNNNNNNNNNNNNNNNNNNNNNNNNNNNNNNNNNNNNNNNNNNNNNNNNNNNNNNNNNNNNNNNNNNNNNNNNNNNUCGGGGUCUACCGGUAAGAAGAGGGGGAAGAAACAAUAAAUAAUAGCACCGAUGCAACACAAAGCAUGACAUGGCAAGAUGCAGGUUAGACAUGAACUAACGCAGCAACAUCCGUCAUAGACGGGUCGGAAGAAUAUCUGACGAUAUUUUCCGGGUCUCGGGCUACUACCGGUUAUACUGGAAACGAUGGNNNNNNNNNNNNNNNNNNNNNNNNNNNNNNNNNNNNNNNNNNNNNNNNNNNNNNNNNNNNNNNNNNNNNNNNNNNNNNNNNNNNNNNNNNNNNNNNNNNNNNNNNNNNNNNNNNNNNNNNNNNNNNNNNNNNNNNNNNNNNNNNNNNNNNNNNNNNNNNNNNNNNNNNNNNNNNNNNNNNNNNNNNNNNNNNNNNNNNNNNNNNNNNNNNNNNNNNNNNNNNNNNNNNNNNNNNNNNNNNNNNNNNNNNNNNNNNNNNNNNNNNNNNNNNNNNNNNNNNNNNNNNNNNNNNNNNNNNNNNNNNNNNNNNNNNNNNNNNNNNNNNNNNNNNNNNNNNNNNNNNNNNNNNNNNNNNNNNNNNNNNNNUUUGAUCUGACUUACGGAUUAUUUUAUAUUAAUUUUCAAAGUUUUAUUAAUUAUUUAGGAAUUAAAAACAGAUUUAAAUGAUUUAAUAAAAUCCCAUUAUGACAUCAUCGCGAUGUCAGGCUGGCAUCAGCAGUUGACUGGUCAACUNNNNNNNNNNNNNNNNNNNNNNNNNNNNNNNNNNNNNNNNNNNNNNNNNNNNNNNNNNNNNNNNNNNNNNNNNNNNNNNNNNNNNNNNNNNNNNNNNNNNNNNNNNNNNNNNNNNNNNNNNNNNNNNNNNNNNNNNNNNNNNNNNNNNNNNNNNNNNNNNNNNNNNNNNNNNNNNNNNNNNNNNNNNNNNNNNNNNNNNNNNNNNNNNNNNNNNNNNNNNNNNNNNNNNNNNNNNNNNNNNNNNNNNNNNNNNNNNNNNNNNNNNNNNNNNNNNNNNNNNNNNNNNNNNNNNNNNNNNNNNNNNNNNNNNNNNNNNNNNNNNNNNNNNNNNNNNNNNNNNNNNNNNNNNNNNNNNNNNNNNNNNNNNNNNNNNNNNNNNNNNNNNNNNNNNNNNNNNNNNNNNNNNNNNNNNNNNNNNNNNNNNNNNNNNNNNNNNNNNNNNNNNNNNNUGGCAUUCUCUCAUUAUUCUAAUUAAUUAAUUUAACUAAUAUAUCUAUUUAUUUAUUUAAUAAAAACAUUAUUUUUAUUUUUAGUUUAACUAUCGCGUGGGGCCUCCCUGUCAUAGACAGCGGGUGCGUUGCCCCACCGGUAAGUGACCNNNNNNNNNNNNNNNNNNNNNNNNNNNNNNNNNNNNNNNNNNNNNNNNNNNNNNNNNNNNNNNNNNNNNNNNNNNNNNNNNNNNNNNNNNNNNNNNNNNNNNNNNNNNNNNNNNNNNNNNNNNNNNNNNNNNNNNNNNNNNNNNNNNNNNNNNNNNNNNNNNNNNNNNNNNNNNNNNNNNNNNNNNNNNNNNNNNNNNNNNNNNNNNNNNNNNNNNNNNNNNNNNNNNNNNNNNNNNNNNNNNNNNNNNNNNNNNNNNNNNNNNNNNNNNNNNNNNNNNNNNNNNNNNNNNNNNNNNNNNNNNNNNNNNNNNNNNNNNNNNNNNNNNNNNNNNNNNNNNNNNNNNNNNNNNNNNNNNNNNNNNNNNNNNNNNNNNNNNNNNNNNNNNNNNNNNNNNNNNNNNNNNNNNNNNNNNNGGCGGUGAGGAGAUCGACAUGGUGGGAGGAGCCCGAGGAGGGGCUCACCGACGGUGACGAGACGGCCCGAUGAAGCCGGAGUUCGCACGAAGGUGAAGGUGACGACGGUGACGCGGUUCCGGUGAAGACGGGCGUGCCGGCGAGGAGGAGCCGGCCGGAGGUUCGCCGAGAGGUGCCCUAGUGAGGAGGGGCCCCCGGAGAUGGAGUCGGCCGGAGUGGGUGAGGCCGGCAAGAGGGACCUCGAGGAGGCCGGGGACCCUGUCGGCGGGGUGGAGGCCGAGGGGGGAGCUCGCCGGCGGGAGAAUGGGGCCGUGGGGGGAACUCGCCGCCGGAGGAGGAGGAGUGGUGGCCGGCGGUUGGAGGAGCAGGGGCUCGCCGGCCGGGAGAGGGGAGGGGCUCGCCGGCCGGAGGGAGGAGGCCGUGGGGAAGUGAGAUGAGGGAUCGGCUCGCCGGCGGGGGGNNNNNNNNNNNNNNNNNNNNNNNNNNNNNNNNNNNNNNNNNNNNNNNNNNNNNNNNNNNNNNNNNNNNNNNNNNNNNNNNNNNNNNNNNNNNNNNNNNNNUCUUGCUACUGUGAAAUUCAUUUUGGAGGUGAUGUGAUCUGAUAGCGCAAUAAGAACAAUUCACAAGAGUAACUGUAUCACAUAGUCAUAGAUCCAAUCACUAUUUAUUUUGGAGGUGUCAAUGCAAGUUAGUCCUAAAACUAUAUAUAAGUUAUUCACCGAGAGCCCUAACUUGCCCAUAGACCAGUGUUCACCUGCUUAUGUGGCGCUUAACUGUUGCCAUGUAGACAUACUCUAUGCAAAAUGGCCCUUCCAAAUACACAAUGGAAAAUUCACUCUCAAAAAUGUCGUACAACCACAUUGAAGAGGUGGGAUGUUUUUAUUUCUUAAGAAAAAAAGACAAAUCAUCACAAUACACACAACCAUUCGUAGCGAGAUACUUGUCACUGGUGCACUUGGGCACCACUUCAUCCAGCAC